rnacentral:lncRNA from 1 species
AUUUCUUGACCCAUGUUUUGUCGCUGCAUUUCAGUCUUUAGGUAGUUGGUUCAAAGGGACUGAGCUCACGUUGUGGGAAACUGUUCAUGGAAUCAAGUUCUGGGAAUUUAUGAAUCAAAACCCUGGAAUAAACCAGCGGUUCAAUGAAGCAAUGGCCAGUGACACUGAAAUACUGACAAGCUUUGUUGUCAAAGCCGAGUGCAAGCAAAUCUUUGAAGGGUUGGGCUCAUUGGUUGACGUAGGAGGUGGCAACGGAUCGCUUUCCAGAAUCAUCUCUGAAGCAUUCCCUGGCAUCAAAUGCACUGUACUCGACCUCCCGCAUGUUGUUGCUAACCUGCCUGAGGCCGACAACUUGAAAUACAUAGCAGGUGACAUGUUUCAGUUUAUCCCUCCGGCAGAUGCCUUUCUCUUCAAGGUAAGAUCCAAUUUUAAAAAUUUAAAACAACUUCUUAACCGUUUUCGUAAAUACCAGAUGAUUUAUUUCAAUUGUUCUGUGUGCAGCACACAUAUCCGGACGUUAGAAUCUUACAAAAUCAGGAUUUGAAUGAUCCAAAUCAGAUUUAAAGUAAAAGCAAAAUGCUACACAACUCUAAAUUUAAUUUAACAUUUGGAUUUUACAGAAUCUAGAAGUUUAGGCUUUAGCAUGAUCAUUUACGUAGUCAUUCUCUAGUGCGGUUACCCUCAUUUUUUCGAGUGUAGAUUCGAAGUUUACCAUAUUGGUAAAGGCUUGUAUAACAUUGAAACUUAUUUUUUCAUAACUUAUAUGUAUAUGUAUUUAUAUGUGCGUGUGUGUGUUUAUAGGCGGAGUAGUAAAGCGUUUUAUCUACAACACUAUAAAAUUAUUUUACAAUAUUUAAAACAACCAAUCUGCAUUCUAAAAAGUAUGAUUUGUGUAUGUGCGCGCGCAUAGAUAGAUAGAUAGACACACGCACGAACUGGGAUUUUAUUAAAAAGAAAAAGUAUAUUUUAACUAAAAUGUCAGAUCAAACAACAGAACUGCACUAUAAGUAGUGGAUAUUAAUUAAAUGAGUGAUUGGCAUGGUUGCAGUUGAUUUUUCAUGGAUUAGGUGAUGAGGAUGGGUUGAAGAUACUGAAGAAACGCAGAGAAGCAAUUGCAAGCAAUGGUAAGAGAGGAAAGGUCAUAAUAAUAGAUAUUGUUAUCAAUGCAGAGGAAGAGGAACCCGAAUUAACCGAAACAAAGUUCUUGUUUGACAUUUUGAUGAGCGUUAACGCUAAUGGAAAAGAGAGAACUGAAAGUGAAUGGGCAAAGCUAUUCUCCGACGCUGGUUUCAGUCACUACAAAAUAACACCUAUAUUUGGCAUGAGAUCCCUCAUUGAAGUCUAUCCAUAAAGAAUUGAGUAACCGUAUUCCCGCAAGUCUCUUGUACUGCUUGAUGGAAUAGCAAAGUUUCGUUCAAGAUGUAUGCGUAGUAGUUGAAAUGUCUCGUAAUGACUAGAAAAUGAGGUGACACACGGGUUUGAAUAUAGGAUGAGUCACUCAAUUAAAAUGCUAUAGUCUUUUGGUAUGGAAACUUAAAUAUCCUAGACCACCCUUUAAUAUAUUAAGAAUAAAGGAUUAGUGUGUACCGUGUUAUAUUGCAUUUUUAUAUUGUUUCCAGCAUCUGCUCUUAUGUUUUAUCUUUACUAAUUAAAUUACGAUCUUUCUUAAGUUAUUGUGUUCCCAAAACAAGUAACUGCAAAAUAAUUUAUAUUGUUACUUUGGAUAUCUUCAAUUAGGUUGUACAUUAAUGAUAAAUGAUUCAAAAUUUAUAUUUGCAAUGUAAGUAAAAAAUAAUAAUAAUUUGUAAAAAAAUUAAAAAAGCAAAAAUAACCUAUUCAAAUUAAUGAGUAAUAUUACUAUUAAAAAUUAAUAUUUCAAAAGUAUAACAUCCCCACGAUUCUUCUAAGCCAAUCAGAAACAUCAUUGGCUAAGAUUGUUUGAUGUAAGCCAAAAUUGAUAUUUAAUUAUUUUAUUUAGUAUUUUAAUUUUUUCAAGCAGAAUUUAUAAUUGGACUUGUAUUUGGGGUGCAUGGAUUCUGUUUUCCGGUUUACUAUUAGAAAGAUUAUGUCACGGGCUUAAUAAUUUAUCAUUAAAAUCCUUAUUUUAUGCGAGGGUUUUAUCUAUCUUGAUCACAUUUCCACUAUGUUAUUACAAAAAUCUUCAAUUAACAUGCAGUAUAAUAUCCAAGUCAACUCAAUCAAGUGAAGCUAAUUAAAACUGAGGAUCAAAUAGCACAAUCAACCUUACAUAACAAGCAAGAAUAAUGGAAGCCAUGAAUUAAUCACUAGCCGUUAGACCUCUAUUCGUUUCUUUUAAUUUAACUAGGUGGAAGCCAAGAAUCUUGGGCAAAACACUAUGCCCCAUAUUGUCUAUGCAUCCAACGAUUCGUCAAUGAAACUUUUUUUUUUAUGGUAUCACAGCCAAUCUUGAGAGUCACAGACAUGCAUGGUUAUUAUGUUUCAAUGAAAAAGAGUUUGCCACUAGUGAACCUCUUAAGAAAGUUGGCUUGCUUGAAUGUAGAUCAGUAUACAAAAGAAAUUCGAAGCUAUUUGUGAUUGUUUGGCUGCCGUCAAGAAACCAGUGGAAGAUGUCGAUAAACAGUGGCAAUUGGCACGUGGACUUGGACCAGACUUGAGACCUGAAGGUAGCGAUGCUGGGAAAACCUCCAUACGGUCAAUUUGGUCCUUUUAAGGUUCAAAAAGUUGAAUUAAUUUUCUUGUAAUGCAAGCUAGUAUCUAAGAUGGUCAAUGGAUCUAGAGAUGGUGGAAAGAAAAAAACACUUAAAGAAAGAUGUAAUUGAUUGAUUAUGUUAACUGCUAGCUCAUUUGUAAAUUUGAAAGAUAACGAAGACUCUAUUGUAAUUCACCCCAUUAAGUGCAGUGUGAUUAUACAAAGAGUAGUAUUAGGCAUCUUGAAAUUUUACCUCAAAUGAUAUGAUAUUCAUAACGAUGGCAUAGUUUAAUUAACUCACGUAAUAUUUGUGAAUAACAUGUUACAUACCAUGCAUAUCACAUAAUAUUUCAGUGUGAAUAUUAUUUUCUCUUUCAUGAUAAAUUGUAUUGUGGGCAUUUAAAUAUACAAUAUCGUAAAAUUUAACUAAAGAGUUGGUGUAACCAAAUAUUUUGAUAAGGAUAUCUAAUGAAAUUUCAAAUAAAUUUCAUUUUGAUCUUAAAUUCCAAGCGACCUGCAGAAUAUAUACACUACGAUUUAUUCAGAGCAAUCCGAAAACGAAAUAGUAUGAGCUUCAGUUUGAUUAAAUAUUUUUCCCAAUACAUUCAGAUUUCAGAAAGUUUCAAAAGAAAGCUGAAAAAAUAUAUCAAUAAUUGAAAUGAAAAAAGUUAGAAGGAGGUAUCUAAAAGUCAAUUUCAACGCCAAUGAUGUGUAAUUCCACAUGAGUAAACUAAUUAAUUGCCAUGAGAAAACGAAACGAAAAGAAAAGAAAGGUGCGUAAAAUUUAAUUUGACAAUAACAGCUACGUUCUCCAACCGCCCCCCCCCCCCCCGCCCCCCGCCCCCCCCAACACCAAAAAAAGGCAUAAAUUUCAUUUGACAAUGAUGUCCUGAUAUCCAUGACCUCAACUUGGGAAAGGAAAAAAAAAAAUUCAUCAUAAAGAAAUUUCAUUUGACAUAUUAUCAUUUAUCUUGCUUCGCUUGGUAUCAUUUGUGCAUUUUAUUGUCUUUGAAGCAUAUGAUUUUUUUUAGUUUGGUACUAUGUUGGUGUUAUUUUAAUUUAUAUAUUAAGAAACGUGAUUGUUAUAUGGAAGAAAUAUUUUGCUGAAAUAAUGGGAUUCAUUCUAAACCUAGACAUUGACUAGCUAGCCGUACACUACAAGAAAAUGAGACAUUUCCAAGAAAUAAAAGAUACACUGUCGGAAAUAGACUUAUUUUGUUGUUUAAUGACCCCUAUUAUUUUAUAUAAUAACAUUAUUUUAUUAUUUUAUUAUUUUUAUUGUUGAAAUAUCUAUAUUAGGGAAGUAAUGUAACAUAAUAAUAAUAUACGAAAUAUACUAAAUGUAAUUUCAUUAAUUUCAAGAAUUUAUAAAAUCACAUUCAUCAUUCAAAAAUGCUACAAAAAUAUCAAUUUUAUAAUAUCUUUUACAGAAAAAAAUACCAAAUUAUAAACAAAAUGAUAUCACCAUAUCUUAGAUAUGUUCAAUCAUCCUCUAAAACAACUUGAGUUGCUGAAUCAUUUGCCUCAACUUCAUCAUCCUCAUACCCAUCAUCAUCUUCUCUCGUCAAAACAAUGUCCUAGGUGAAAGAAGGAAUUUUAAUCAUUAUUAUUACCAAAACAAGAACUUGUAUAAAACAUAAUCAAGAAGCUGAGACUAAUGAGAAAAAUAUUGUAAUAAAAACAAGUUUAUAUAGAUGCAUAGUCUCCAUUUCAAAAAAUCUAAUAAUUAUUUCAUCAUUCACCUAUAUUAGAAGCUUGUCCAUAAUUACUUAAGUUCAUCAACUAAUAGAGCAAUGACAAGUCACCAAUCAUUUUUUGUGAGAACUCAAAGCAUAGAAAAAUUCAUUCACUUAAUCUAUUAAUAAAAUGAAAUAAACAAUCUAUACCUUACGACAUGAUUCUUGUACAGACUUUCCAAGAACAAGUUUUAUCAUUCUUUUCAACUUCUGGAUUCCUUUCUCUAAGUCUUUUACUUUUACUUCUAAAUUACUACAUUGAUGCUUGUUACGUCCUUGACUUGGAGAACCAUACACAUCCUUGCCUUUGAUGCCUGCUCCCUGACCAACAACACGACCAUGUGCUGCUUCUCUUGUCACUUCUCGAUAUAUUUUCCAUUCAUCCACUGGCAAGCCUUGAUCUACAACAGUGGAUCUCAUUGAUUCCAUUGUUUCCUAUAAUAAAUAAAUACAUUUGUGUGAGUGCAUAUAGUAAUGAAAUCAUGCAAAUAAAUCAGGAAUAUUAUGAAAAUUUAAUAUCAAAUACACACAUGCAUUUCCUUUGCCUUGUUACUUGCCAAUGUCCCCUUACAUGAAACAUCUUGAAUAAAUUAAGUGGCUUAAGUUCAGUACCUAUUUGUUACUGCAAUAAAGAAUUGAAAUUGAAUAUGAUCAUAAUAAAUAAACGCACUUCUUUUAUGAGCAAAGUCAAAUAUUUAUCUUCCCAUUUUCUUUUCUAUGCUUGGCCAUUGGGACGAACUUGUAGUAUGAAUAAGUUUGGACUUGGUUCAAUUCCUCUUGCUUGUUGUGCUUGUUUUCUAUAUAUAAGUUAAAAAAAAGCAUAAAAUCAACUUUGUUAUUCUAAAUCUAUUGUUGAGUACUAGAGAAUGCAUAUUUAUAGAGGGUAAAAUUGUCAUUUUAUUCUCGAAGUCUCACUAACAUUUUCACUUUUACGUGUUUAAAUUCUCUAAGCUUUUAUAAUCUGUGUUUUAUUAUAAUUUAAGUAUUUUAUGUAUUUCAGGGAUAUUUUAAUCAUUUCAUAACUAACGAGAAGUCAGACAGCAAAACGGAUGGCAUUUUUGAACUCAGAAUGGUUGAAAAUUUUAGGAGGAGUAUAAAUGAGUAUUCGACAUAUAUAUGGUACCGUUCAAAUAUAAGGUAAUAUUCACAAGUACAGCAUUGUUUCACAUAUACGAUAUGAUAAUGUGGCAUUGCAAUGAUGUAGCAGGAUGCUACUGGACCAAAAUACUGAUGUAGCAUUGACUGAUGAUGUGGUGUUGACUAAUGUGGUGUUGACUAAUGUGGUGUUGACUAAUGAUGUGUACCAACUAAUCAAAGCUUGCCAUGUGGCGCAAUCGUGAGCGUCCGAAUUGUUUUCAUCUGAUGGCCACGAUUUACCCAUUGUAUAUAUAAUAGAGGGCUCCUCAGCCUAAUUUAACACCCUUGAAUUCAUUUUCGAGCUCCAUUUUCUAUAAUUCUCUCAUCAUCUUGUAUUUUCUACAUAUUUUAAUAAAAUUAUCAGUUUACCCCUUAUUCAAUAAUAAGUGGCUAAUUUUGUUUCAAACUUGGGUUAAAGGUAAAAUCUCAACAUGAUCCAUGGGCUUAGGUAAAUUUAAUUUAUUUUUCUUUUUUAUUUAUGUUGUUGUUUUGAUUCAUUGCCAUAAUAUAAGAAACUUUGCAUCUAAUAACUUUUCCAACCUUUUAUGAUGUAGAUUUUUCUGAAAGUUGAAUUGCAAUUCAAUGUUUGCUUAUCCAAUUAUUUAUUGGACAAAAAGGAAUUUAAAAAUAAAACUUUAGUCAUUUUAAAAGAAUCGAACAUGCUACCAACUCUCUUGUUAGAAGUUGUAAUUUAAUUUAUAGAUUCUAGGCUUCCAUGAACUUGUGAAGUAUUAAGUUAUUUCUACAGUAAAACACCCCUUGGUAAAUUGCAAGGGUUGUUUUCACUAUAGAACGACAAUAAGACAGCCUUUGUAGAUUUUUAGGGGCUUUUUGCUGUGUUCUAAAAUCAAAACAGCUCUUAGCAAUUCUUUGGACUAUUUUGUUUUGAAAACAUUUUGAAGAUUGUUGAGGAAAAAGGGAAAUAACAGCAUUAUUUUAAUAAACUGAUGUAAAUGCUAUUAUUAUUACUAAUUUGCAGGCUAUUUGCUAUGACUUCGACAAUGGUGUCUAUCAUAAAUAAAAUUACUUUCUUUUAUAAUUCUUCUAAAGGUAUCAAUUGAGAAUUUAGUGCAAACUGUAGCUAUUUUGCAAUAGAUUUGUUGUCAAAAUAGCUGCUGAAAGUUUACAGGAGCUUUUUUUUUUUCUACAGUAAAACACCCCUUGGUAAAUUGCAAGGGUUGUUUUCACUAUAGAACGACAAUAAGACAGCCUUUGUAGAUUUUUAGGGGCUUUUUGCUGUGUUCUAAAAUCAAAAUAGCUCUUAGCAAUUCUUUGGACUAUUUUGUUUUGAAAACAUUUUGAAGAUUGUUGAGGAAAAAGGGAAAUAACAGCAUUAUUGUUUUAGGAGGCUUGAUGAUGAGUUUGAUAAAUUUUGCAAGUGUUACCAGACUAAAGUUAAAAAGUUUAUGUUGAGGCUAAAAGUUUAGGUGAGUAAAUGCACAUUUUGGUCCCUCUCGGGAUAAAAACUAAGAAAUUGGAAGGAGUUAUGCAGGAUUCUGUACAACAAGCCUGAAGAACAAAAGCAUGAAAGCGGGAUGAUUUUGAAAAUUCUUGAAUAGUAUAUAUCUCUACUUGCUUUUAUACUAUAUCUGUGGCAUUAUUUUUGAAGUUUGACAAUAUUAAUCUUGCAAUUAAUACUUUAAUGCAAAGAAGGAAUACACUCAGGAUGAACUUAAUGAGGUUCUUUUGGAGUGGGCUAACCAUUUUUUUCCACAUCCUGGUCGCAUUUGCAAAUUGGUUAGUAUAAGUAUGAAACUAUAGAUGCACCUUGUUAUUAGUUGUUACAAUUUGUUGAAAUUAAAGUUGAAGUGUUAAACUGUAAUGGUUGUUGUUAAGGAUUGUAGUAUAGAUGAUAUGCAUUUGAUAAUAUUAGGUAUUUUGAUUGAUUUUGGUGUAGAUUGGGUUGAUGGGUAUAGGUCAGAGUGUUGCUGUGUAUAUUGCUAGAGUUAGAGCAUUGUCGCAAGAUGGUGGGUUGUUACGUAUGAUUUGGGGUAUUAGUUGGAGUGUUACUGGGUAUGUGGCUGGAAUUAUGAUCAAGAUGCAUGAGCCUUAAGUGGGUGAAUUUGAGGCAGGAUUUUAAUGUUCACUGAAGCACUCAACUACUUACAACAACUCCUAAAUGCAUAUGAAGUAAUUACUGCCACAAUAAUGGAGGUAUCGUUCAAAUUUUUAUUUAGAGACAGUCAUCUGGGUUUCAACUAUAAAUAAAAUCUGCAUUUGCAUAUAGUCUCAGUGUCUCUAAUGGCUGAUGUUUAAAAACAAUGUCCAGCUCAGCUUAGGUGUUGAUGCAUUGACCAAUUAAAUCAACGAUAAAUAAAUUACUAGCAAGAUUAACAUUAUGAUAUUCUUGAAAACAAUCGUUUGAUGAUUAUAAAUCCAUUAGAGGUUUCAUUUCGACUGAUAGAGAUGUUUCCAAGGAAACAUAUUUAGGUUUUUUUUUUCCGUGAAAAUAAGUCCUGAAAAAGAACUUAGUACCUUCACUUUAGAAUUGACAUUUGUGGAUCAGGAAUUGGCUUGGAACACAAGAGAGGGGUUUAGAUAAUUAGCACUCACAAAUAAUACAACUCGUAUUAUUGAAAAAAAAAAACUUGUAUUCUGAUUUUGAUUGUUUACAAAGUGUGAAUUUACAAAAGUUAUGUACAUAAUUAAAUAACUAGCUAUCAGAGAUUUAAUUACAUAACUACAUAAAUACAGCUGCAGUACAUAAUAUGCUUUCCUAAACUACAAAAAAGGUAAUAAAAUACUUUCUUUUUUGAGAUACACGAUAUUAUAAAUUCUUGAUAGGUAAAUUCAAUGAUAACCUUGACUUGUGCAAGCUAUGUUGUGUGUUUUAACUGUUGGCAAAUUUUCUUUUGUUGACCAUUUACAGCUUGCUUAUUACUUCCCCUCAAGUUGGCAAGUGAUAUACGAUCUGGAUGCUAAGGUUUUGUCAAAAAUUAGGAAACAUGACUUUCGAGAGAGCUUUGGUGAAUAUAUAGAUAAUUUCUAUGUAUGGCAAUGGGGAGGGGAGGGGAGGGGACCGACAUCCCCGCACCCAUCCCCGAUGUUAUUUAUAUAUCCCCGUCCCCAUCAGAAUUGCUUGAGGGGAUCCCCGUCCCCUCCCCGAAUAAUAAGAGGGGAUUCCUGAGGGGAGGGGACGGGGAUCACCAAGGAGUCCCCAAUCUCCGAAUAACUAAUACAUUUUUAUUUUUAAACUUGAUUUAAUCAUAUUAAAAUAAAAAUUUAAACAAAAAUAAGGUUUGACAAUAUAUCUUAGAUUAACAUGGUCGGGCAAUGAAUAACGUCGGAAGCGAAUUUAGAAGAUUAAAUCCACCCACAUUCGAAGGCAGUAUAGAUCCUAUCAUAGCAAACCAAUGGUUGCGAACCAUGGAAAGAAUGAUAGAAGUAUGCAAAGUACCAGAAUAAAAAAAAAAAAGUCUCAUGUGUAUCCUUUAUGCUACGAGGAGCGGCAGAAUACUGGUGGGACUCAGUUAAACGAAUUUAAAAUGAAGCAAUAAUGCAAUGGGUGGAAUUUAAAGAACACUUCUAUAACAAAUACUUUUCAGAGAAUGUUCGCUCAGCCAAAAGAAGAGAGUUUGUUUAUUUAUAAUAAGGAAGUAUGUCUGUGCUAGAGUACAUCCGAAAAUUUGAUGAGCUCUCUCGAUAUGCUCCACAUAUGGUUGCAACGGAAGACUUGAAAAAUGACCACUUUAUGCAAGGAUUGCAUAAAAAUCUCACAAAAGACUUAAAGGUAGCUAGAGUUCAUGAUGCUUCCUUCAACGAUCUGAUCGAUCGAGCCUUGGUAAUUGAACAAGCAGAUGAAGAAAAGAAGGAAGAAAAACGAAGAAACAAAAGAAGUAUGGACCAGGGGAACUUUAUAAAACAACACUCAAAUAAUAAUAAGAGAAAGGGAACCCAAUGGUCCAAGAUUAGAGUAAAAGCAAACGCCAAAGAAUCAUCAAAAGGAAGUCCCACAAAAACCAAAGUGCAAUCAAUACGGUAGAACUCACCUUGGACAAUGUUGAGCACAUACCAGAACAUGUUUCAAAUGUGGAAAGGAAGACACUUCAUUGGGGACUGCUAGGAAAAUGGUACACAACAAGAAAAGACUAAUGCUUGAGUAUUCACACUCAACGAGACGGAUGCAUAAGGAAACCUCUCAGUAAUAUCAGGUGAACUAUCUAACUCCAAAACUCAUGCAUAUGUGCUAAUAAACUCAGGAGCUACACAUUCAUUUGCCUCACCAGCAUUCAUUAAGAAAAUAAAAAAUGUCCCUGGCAUAAUAAAUAGGCCUUUUAGUGUCAUGGUAUCAUCUGGUGAAAUAUUGAAUUCAGGACAAUUAGUUAAGGCAUGUGAGGUUGGUAUUAGUGGUAAUACACUAUAUGUUGACCUAAUAAUUAUUAAGAUGCAUGACUAUGACAUAAUUCUUGGCAUGGAUUGGCUAUGGAAGCACUUUGCCAAGAUAUAUUGUAAGAAAAAAAAGGUAACUUUUCGACCAUUACAAAAGGAAUCGUUUACAUUUAAAGGAGAAUGCAAAGAGAACAAAAUGUCUAUCAUUUCUACAUUAAAAGAAGCUAGACUAUUAAAUGGAGGAUGUGACGGGUACUUGGCAUGUGUGGUCAUCGAAACAUAGGGUGCGUUUGGGAUUGAGGUUGGGCAGCUGUAGCUUAAAAGCUACAGCACUAAAGUGUUUGGUAAACACUAGCUGUUGUAGCUUUUAAGCUAUAUUGUUAUGAUUUUUCACUUGUAUAAUAUAAAAUUUAUUAUGUCUUUAAUAAUUUUAUCAAAAUUAUUAUUUAAAUUUUAUAUUUACUAUAUAUUAUUAACUUUUGUUUCAUAAUUACAACUUUUUUUUUCACAGCAACUGUAGUUUAAAAGGUACAGCACCUCAAUCCCAAACGCACCCAUAAGAGCAAAGACCAAAUUUGAAAGAUAUUUCAAUGGUGAACGAAUUUCAUGAGGUCUUUCUUGAAAAACUCACAAGAUUGCCACUGAAUUGAGAAAUUGAAUUCAAAAUCGAUUUGCUAACAAGAACUGCUCCAAUUUCAAAGGCGCUUUAUAAGAUGUCCCCACCAGAACUAAAAGAGUUAAAGAGUCAAUUGCAAGAAUUACUAGACAUGCAAAUGUGAAGCACCAGUAUUGUUCGUAAAAAAGAAGGAUGGAUCAAUGCAAAUGUGCAUCGACUACUGAGAGCUGAAUAAGGUGACUAUCAAGAACAAAUACCUGCUUCCACGCAUUGAUGACUUGUUCGAUUAAUUGCAAGGAGCAGCGGUAUUUUUAAAGAUUAAUCUAUGAUCAGGAUAUCACCAGUUGAGAAUCAGGGAAGAAGAUAUUCUUAAAACAGUAUUCAGAAAACUUUAUGGACACUAUAAGUUUGUCGUAAUGCCAUUUGGUCUAACUAAUGCCCCAACAGCCUACAUGGACCUCAUGAACAUGGUAUUUAAAGACUACCUAGACAAAUUCAUAGUGGUAUUCAUUAAUGAUAUUUUGGUCUACUCACGAUCAAAGGAAGAGCAUGUUAAGCACUUAAGGAUUUUUCUUCAGACCUUGAAAGAGAAGCAACUUUAUGCAAAACUAAAAAAAUAUGAGUUUUAGCUUGAAAAAGUAACUUUCCUUGGACACGUGGUGUAUAAGGAUGGAAUUUUAGUAGACCCCUUAAAGGUGGAAGAUGUAAGCCAAUUGUCUAGAUCGACUAAUGCCAAAAAAGUCAAAAGCUUCUUGGGUUUGGCUGGAUACUACCGAAGAUUUGUGGAAGGUUUCUCGAAGAUCGCAAUGCCACUGACCCAGUUAACAAAGAAAAAUACUAAGUUUCUAUGGACUCUAGAAUGCUUGAAAAGUUUUAAAGAACUAAAAAGACGACAAAUCACUACUCCAAUCCUAGCCGUUCCUAGUAGCUCUGAGGAAUUUGUCAUCUAUAGCGAUGCCUCUAAAAUGGCAUAGGAUGUGUCCUCAUGCAAAAUGGGAAAGUCAUUUCAUAUGCUUCCAGACAAUUGAAAGAAUAUGAGAAAAAUUAUCCAACGCAUGAUUUACAGUUGGCAGUACUAAAAAUAUGGCAUUACUAUUUAAUGAGGGCGCAUUGUAAGAUUUACACUGAUCAUAAGAACCUCAAAUACUUCUUUACACAAAUGGAGUUAAAUAUAUGACAAUUACGUUGGAUAGAGCUUGCCAAGGAUUACGAUUGUGAAAUAAACUAUCAUCCUAGAAAAGCAAACAUGGUAGCAGAUGCACUAAGUAGAAAGUCAAGCUUGUCAGCUUUAAGGAUUCUACCUAAACCAUUACAAGAUGACAUAUGCAAGGCAGAAAUCGAGCUAGUAGUAGGAAAAUUAGCUAACAUGACACUUCGUUCAACUUUAUUAGAAAAGAUUAAAGAGGGGCAGGAAAGUGAUUCCAACUUGAAGAAGUUGAAGAUAGAAGCCAACUCAAAGGAGAUGUCAUUUAAAAGUUAGAGAGGGGAAUCAUCUUUUGCAAGGACAGGAUAUGUGUGCCAGACAAUAAAGAUAAAAAAGAAAGAAAUUCUAUUUGAAGCUCACACAACUCCACGUUCACUUUACCUUGGUAUAACAAAAAUGUACAAAAACUUAAAGAAGAAUUAUUGGUGGCCUGGAAUGAAGAAAGAUAUAGUGGAGUUCGUGAAAAAAUGUCUCACUUGUCAAUAAAUCAAAGUGGAGCACGAGAGACUAGCAGGACUUUUGUAAUCUAAUCAAAGCCCUUAAUGGAAAUGGGAAGAAAUCACGAUGGACUUCAUCGUUAUUCUUUCAAAAACUACCAAAAUGCAUGAUGCCAUUUGGGUGAUCAUUGAUCGACUUACAAAGUCUACUCACUUCUUGCCUAUUCGAAUGACGUACACCAUGGACCAACUUGCAGAAAUAUAUGUAAAAGAGAUAGUAAGACUACAUGGUGUGCCCAUUUUUAUUAUUUCUGAUCAAGAUGCAAGGUUUACUUUGACAUUCUGGGAAACGUUAUAUAAGGCUAUGGGGACAAGAUCGAAGUUCAAUAUAACAUUUCACCCUCAAACAGAUGACCAAUCAGAAAGAACGAUUCAGGCGCUUGAAGAUAUGCUGUGAGGAUGUGUUAUUGACUUUGAAAGAUCAUGGAGCAAGUAUUUACCAUUGGUUAAAUUCGCUUACAACAAUAGUUACCAAGCAACAAUUAACAUGGCACCAUACGAAGCUCUAUAUGGUAGAAAAUGUAGAUCGCCUAUUCAUUAGGAUGAGAUGGGCGAGUAAAGACAUCUUGGACCUGAGUUAAUUACUACCUCAUCUGAAGCGAUCAAGAAAAUACGUCAAAGAAUGCAGGCAGCUCAAAGUCGACAGAAAAGUUAUGCAGAUAAGAGGCAAAAGCCUUUGGAAUAUUGGUGACAAAGUAUUUCUAAAGGUUUCCCAAUAAAAGGAUCAAUGAGAUUUAAGAAAAAAGGAAAAUUAAGUUCGAGGUUUAUUAGGUUUUAAUAGAUUUUAAAUAUAAUAGAUUUUAUUUUGAUCACAUUUCCACUAUGUUAUUACAAAAAUCUUCAAUUAACAUGCAGUAUAGUAUCCAAGUCAACUCAAUCAAGUGAAGCUAAUUAAAACUGAGGAUCAAAUAGCACAAUCAACCUUACAUAACAAGCAAGAAUAAUGGAAGCCAUGAAUUAAUCACUAGCCGUUAGACCUCUAUUCGUUUCUUUUAAUUUAACCAGGUGGAAGCCAAGAAUCUUGGGCAAAACACUAUGCCCCAUAUUGUCUAUGUAACCAACAAUUCGUCAAUGAAACUUUUUUUUUUAUGGUAUCACAGCCAAUCUUGAGAGUCACAGACAUGCAUGGUUAUUAUGUUUCAAUGAAAAAGAGUUUGCCACUAGUGAACCUCUUAAGAAAGUUGGCUUGCUUGAAUGUAGAUCAGUAUACAAAAGAAAUUCGAAGCUAUUUGUGAUUGUUUGGCUGACGUCAAGAAACCAGUGGAAGAUGUCGAUAAACAGUGGCAAUUGGCACGUGGACUUGGACCAGACUUGAGACCUGAAGGUAGCGAUGCUGGGAAAACCUCCAUACGGUCAAUUUGGUCCUUUUAAGGUUCAAAAAGUUGAAUUAAUUUUCUUGUAAUGCAAGCUAGUAUCUAAGAUGGUCAAUGGAUCUAGAGAUGGUGGAAAGAAAAAAACACUUAAAGAAAGAUGUAAUUGAUUGAUUAUGUUAACUGCUAGCUCAUUUGUAAAUUUGAAAGAUAACGAAGACUCUAUUGUAAUUCACCCCAUUAAGUGCAGUGUGAUUAUACAAAGAGUAGUAUUAGGCAUCUUAAAAUUUUACCUCAAAUGAUAUGAUAUUCAUAACGAUGGCAUAGUUUAAUUAACUCACGUAAUAUUUGCGAAUAACAUGUUACAUACCAUGCAUAUCACAUAAUAUUUCAGUGUGAAUAUUAUUUUCUCUUUAAUGAUAAAUUGUAUUGUGGGCAUUUAAAUAUACAAUAUUGUAAAAUUUAACUAAAGAGUUGGUGUAACCAAUAUUUUGAUAAGUAUAUCUAAUGAAAUUUCAAAUAAAUUUCAUUUUGACCUUAAAUUCCAAGCGACCUGCAGAAUAUAUACACUACGAUUUAUUCAGAGCAAUCCGAAAACGAAAUAAUAUGAGCUUUCAGUUUGAUUAAAUAUUUUUCCCAAUACAUUCAGAUUUCAGAAAGUUUCAAAAGAAAGCUGAAAAAAUAUAUCAAUAAUUGAAAUGAAAAAAGUUGGAAGGAGGUAUCUAAAAGUCAAUUUCAACGCCAAUGAUGUGUAAUUCCACAUGAGUAAACUAAUUAAUUGCCAUGAGAAAACGAAAAGAAAAGAAAAGAAAGGUGCGUAAAAUUUAAUUUGACAAUAACAGCUACGUUCUCCAACCCCCCCCCCCCCCCCAACACCAAAAAAAGGCAUAAAUUUCGUUUGACAAUGAUGUCCUGAUAUCCAUGAUGUCAACUUGGGAAAGGAAAAAAAAAAAAAACUUCAUCAUAAAGAAAUUUCAUUUGACAUAUUAUCAUUUAUCUUGCUUCGCUUGGUAUCAUUUGUGCAUUUUAUUGUCUUUGAAGCAUAUGAUUUUUUUUGUUUGGUACUAUGUAGGUGUUAUUUUAAUUUAUAUAUUAAGAAACGUGAUUGUUAUAUGGAAGAAAUAUUUUGCUGAAAUAAUGGGAUUCAUUCUAAACCUAGACAUUGACUAGCUAGCCGUACACUGCAAGAAAAUGAGACAUUUCCAAGAAAUAAAAGAUACACUGUCGGAAAUAGACUUAUUUUAUUGUUUAAUGACCCCCAUUAUUUUAUAUAAUAACAUUAUUUUAUUAUUUUAUUAUUUUUACUGUUGAAAUAUCUAUAUUAGGGAAGUAAUGUAACAAACAUAAUAAUAAUAUACGGAAUAUACUAAAUGUAAUUUCAUUAAUUUCAACAAUUUAUAAAAUCACAUUCAUCAUUCAAAAAUGCAACAAAAAUAUCAAUUUUAUAAUAUCUUUUACAAAAAAAAAAUACCAAAGUAUAAACAAAAUGAUAUCACCAUAUCUUAGAUAUGUUCAAUCAUCCUCUAAAACAACUUGAGUUGCUGAAUCAUUUGCCUCAACUUCAUCAUCCUCAUACCCAUCAUCAUCUUCUCUCGUCAAAACAAUGACCUAGGUGAAAGAAGGAAUUUUAAUCAUUAUUAUUACCAAAACAAGAACUUGUAUAAAAUAUAAUCAAGAAGCUGAGACUAAUGAGAAAAAUAUUGUAAUAAAAACAAGUUUAUAUAGAUGCAUAGUCUCCAUUUCAAAAAAUCUAAUAAUUAUUUCAUAAUUCACCUAUAUUAGAAAAUUGUCCAUAAUUACUUAAGUUCAUCAACUAAUAGAGCAAUGACAAGUCACCAAUCAUUUUUUGUGAGAACUCAAAGCAUAGAAAAAUUCAUUCACUUAAUCUAUUAAUAAAAUGAAAUAAACAACCUUUACCUUAUGACAUGAUUCUUGUACAGACUUUCCAAGAACAAGUUUUAUCAUUCUUUUCAACUUCUGGAUUUCUUUCUCUAAGUCUUUUACUUUUACUUCUAAAUUACUACAUUGAUGCUUGUUACGUCCUUGACUUGGAGAAACAUACACAUCCUUGCCUUUGAUGCCUGCUCCCUGACCAACAACACGACCAUGUGCUGCUUCUCUUGUCACUUCUCGAUAUAUUUUCCAUUCAUCCACUGGCAAGCCUUGAUCUACAAUAGUGGAUCUCAUUGAUUCCAUUGUUUCCUAUAAUAAAUAAAUACAUUUGUGCGAGUGCAUAUAGUAAUGAAAUCAUGCAAAUAAAUUAGGAAUAUUAUGAAAAUUUAAUAUCAAAUACACACAUGCAUUUCCUUUGCCUUGUUACUUGCCAAUGUCCCCUUACAUGAAACAUCUUGAAUAAAUUAAGUGGAUUAAGUUCAGUACCUAUUUGUUACUGCAAUAAAGAAUUGAAAUUGAAUUUGAUCAUAAUAAAUAAACGCACUACUUUUAUGAGCAAAGUCAAAUAUUUUAUCUUCCCAUUUUCUUUUCUAUGCUUAGCCAUUGGGACGAACUUGUAGUAUGAAUAAGUUUGGACUUGGUUCAAUUCCUCUUACUUGUUGUGCUUGUUUUCUAUAUAUAAAUUAAAAAAAAGCAUAAAAUCAACUUUGCUAUUCUAAAUCUAUUGUUGAGUACUAGAGAAUGCAUAUUUAUAAAGGGUAAAAUUGUCAUUUUAUGCUCAAUGUCUCACUAACAUUUUCACUUUUACGUGUUUAAAUUCUCUAAGUUUUUAUUAUCUGUGUUUUAUUAUAAUUUAAGUAUUUUAUGUAUUUCAGGGAUAUUUUGGUCAUUUCAUAACUAACGAGAAGUCAGACAGCAAAACGGAUGGCAUUUUUGAACUCAGAAUGGUUGAAAAUUUUAGGAGGAGUAUAAAUGAGUAUUCGACAUAUAUGUGGUACCGUUCAAAUAUAAGGUAAUAUUCACAAGUACAGCAUUGUUUCACAUAUACGAUAUGAUAAUGUGGCAUUGCAAUGAUGUAGCAGGAUGCUACUGGACCAAAAUACUGAUGUAGCAUUGACUGAUGAUGUGGCAGCAUCUUAUGGGACCGAAAUGCUGAUGUGGUGUUGACUAAUGAUGUGUACCAACUAAUCAAAGCUUGCCAUGUGGUGCAAUCGUGAGCGUCCGAAUUAUUUUCAUCUGAUGGCCACGAUUUACCCAUUGUAUAUAUAAUAGAGGGCUCCUCAGCCUAAUUUAACACCCUUGAAUUCAUUUUCGAGCUCCAUUUUCUAUAAUUCUCUCACCAUCUUGUAUUUUCUACAUAUUUUAAUAAAAUUAUCAGUUUACCCCUUAUUCAAUAAUAAGUGGCUAAUUUUGUUUCAAACUUGGGUUAAAGGUAAAAUCUCAACAUGAUCCAUGGGCUUAGGUAAAUUUAAUUUAUUUUUCUUUUUUAUUUAUGUUGUUGUUUUGAUUCAUUGCCAUAAUAUAAGAAACUUUGCAUCUGAUAACUUUUCCAACCUUUUAUGAUGUAGAUUUUUCUGAAAGUUGAAUUGCAAUUCAAUGUUUGCUUAUCCAAUUAUUUAUUGGACAAAAAGGAAUUAAAAAUAAAACUUUAGUCAUUUUAAAAGAAUCGAACAUGCUACCAACUCUCUUGUUAGAAGUUGUAAUUUCAUUUAUAGAUUCUAGGCUUCCAUGAACUUGUGAAGUAUUAAGUUAUCUCUUGCAAAAAAAAUGUAUUCACUCUAAUGGAACUAAUUAUUAUGGGAAAGGUGAUGUUUCUAGUUCUGGAUAAUUUCUUUUUCUUUAAUGCAUAUAGUUAUUUUAGCCUACAUUUCUUUGUUAGUUAGAUAAUUCACAUAUAUGCAAAUGAAUUAUUUAUUCCAUUUACAUUUCUUUGCUAAAAAAAAUAAAAACAAUUUAAUAAACUGAUGCAAAUGCUAUUAUUAUUACUAAUUUGCAGGCUAUUUGCUAUGACUUCGACAAUGGUGUCUAUCAUAAAUAACAUUACUUUCUUUUAUAAUUCUUCUAAAGGUAUCAAUUGAGAAUUUAGUGCAAACUUUAGCUAUUUUGCAAUAGAUUUGUUGUCAAAAUAGCUGCUGAAAGUUUACAGGAGCUUUUUUUUUUCUACAGUAAAGCACCCCUUGGUAAAUUGCAAGGGUUGUUUUCACUAUAGAACGAAAAUAAGACAGCCUUUGUAGAUUUUUAGGGGCUUUUUGCUGUGUUCUAAAGUCAAAACAGCUCUUAGCAAUUCUUUGGACUAUUUUGUUUUGAAAACAUUUUGAAGAUUGUUGAGGAAAAAGGGAAAUAGCAGCAUUAUUUUUUUAGGAGGCUUGAUGAUGAGUUUGAUAAAUUUUGCAAGUGUUACCAGACUAAAGUUAAAAAGUUUAUGUUGAGGCUAAAAGUUUAGGUGAGUAAAUGCACAUUUUGGUCCCUCUCGGGAUGAAAACUAAGAAAUUGGAAGGAGUUAUGCAGGAUUCUGUACAACAAGCCUGAAGAACAAAAGCAUGAAAGCGGGAUGAUUUUGAAAAUUCUUGAAUAGUAUAUAUCUCUACUUGCUUUUAUACUAUAUCUGUGGCAUUAUUUUUGAAGUUUGACAAUAUUAAUCUUGCAAUUAAUACUUUAAUGCAAAGAAGGAAUACACUCAGGAUGAACUUAAUGAGGUUCUUUUGGAGUGGGCUAACCAUUUUUUUCCACAUCCUGGUCGCAUUUGCAAAUUGGUUAGUAUAAGUAUGAAACUAUAGAUGCACCUUGUUAUUAGUUGUUACAAUUUGUUGAAAUUAAAGUUGAAGUGUUAAACUAUAAAGGUUGUUGUUAAGGAUUGUAGUAUAGAUGAUAUGCAUUUGAUAAUAUUAGGUAUUUUGAUUGAUUUUAGUGUAGAUUGGGUUGCUGAGUAUAGGUCAGAGUACUUUAUGGACACUAUAAGUUUGUCGUAAUGCCAUUUGGUCUAACUAAUGCCCCAACAGCCUACAUGGACCUCAUGAACAUGGUAUUUAAAGACUACCUAGACAAAUUCAUAGUGGUAUUCAUCAAUGAUAUUUUGGUCUACUCACGAUCAAAGGAAGAGCAUGUUAAGCACUUAAGGAUUUUUCUUCAGACCUUGAAAGAGAAGCAACUUUAUGCAAAACUAAAAAAAUAUGAGUUUUAGCUUGAAAAAGUAACUUUCCUUGGACACAUCGUGUCUAAGGAUGGAAUUUUAGUAGACCUUUUAAAUGUGGAAGAUGUAAACCAAUUGUCUAGAUCGACUAAUGCCAAAAAAGUCAAAAGCUUCUUGGGUUUGGCUGGAUACUACGGAAGAUUUGUGGAAGGUUUCUCGAAGAUCGCAAUGCCACUGACCCAGUUAAUAAAGAAAAAUACUAAGUUUCUAUGGACUCUAGAAUGCUUGAAAAGUUUUAAAGAACUAAAAAGACGACUAAUCACUACUCCAAUCCUAGCCGUUCCUAGUAGCUCUGAGGAAUUUUUCAUCUAUAACGAUGCCUCUAAAAUGGCAUAGGAUGUGUCCUCAUGCAAAAUGGGAAAGUCAUUUCAUAUGCUUCCAGACAAUUGAAAGAAUAUGAGAAAAAUUAUCCAACGCAUGAUUUAGAGUUGGCAGUACUAAAAAUAUGGCAUUACUAUUUAAUGAGGGCACAUUUUAAGAUUUACACUGAUCAUAAGAACCUCAAAUACUUCUUUACACAAAUGGAGUUAAAUAUACGACAAUGACGUUGGAUAGAGCUUGCCAAGGAUUACGAUUGUGAAAUAAACUAUCAUCCUAGAAAAGCAAACAUGGUAGCAAAUGCAAUAAGUAUAAAGUCUAGCUUGUCAGCUUUAAGGAUUCUACUUAAGCCAUUACAAGAUGACAUAUGCAAGGCAGAAAUCGAGCUAGUAGUAUGAAAAUUAGCUAACAUGACACUUCGUUCAACUUUAUUAGAAAAGAUUAAAGAGGGGCAGAAAAGCGAUUCCAACUUGAAGAAGUUGAAGAUAGAAGCCAACUCAAAGGAGAUGUCAUUUAAAAGUCAGAAAGGGGAAUCAUCUUUUGCAAGGACAGGAUAUGUGUGCCAGACAAUAAAGAUAAAAGAAAGAAAUUCUAUUUGAAGCUCACACAACUCCAUGUUCACUUUACCUUGGUAUAACAAAAAUGUACAAAAACUUAAAGAAGAAUUAUUGGUGGCCUGGAAUGAAGAAAGAUAUAGUGGAGUUCGUGAAAAAAUGUCUCACUUGUCAAUAAAUCAAAGUGGAGCACGAGAGACUAGCAGGACUUUUGUAAUCUAAUCAAAGCCCUUAAUGGAAAUGGGAAGAAAUCACGAUGGACUUCAUCGUUAUUCUUUCAAAAACUACCAAAAUGCAUGAUGCCAUUUGGGUGAUCAUUGAUCGACGUACACCAUAGACCAACUUGCAGAAAUAUAUGUAAAAGAGAUAGUAAGACUACAUGGUGUGCCCAUUUUUAUUAUUUCUGAUCAAGAUGCAAGGUUUACUUUGACAUUCUGGGAAACGUUAUAUAAGGCUAUGGGGACAAGAUCGAAGUUCAAUAUAACAUUUCACCCUCAAACAGAUGACCAAUCAGAAAGAACGAUUCAGACGCUUGAAGAUAUGUUGUGAGGAUGUGUCAUUGACUUUCAAAGAUCAUGGAGCAAGUAUUUACCAUUGGUUAAAUUCGCUUACAACAAUAGUUACCAAGCAACAAUUAACAUGGCACCAUACGAAGCUCUAUAUAGUAGAAAAUGUAGAUCGCCUAUUCAUUAGGAUGAGAUGGGCGAGUAAAGACAUCUUGGACCUGAGUUAAUUACUACCUCAUCUGAAGCGAUCAAGAAAAUACGUCAAAGAAUGUAGGCAGCUCAAAGUCGACAGAAAAGUUAUGUAGAUAAGAGGCAUAAGCCUUUGGAAUAUUGAUGACAAAGUAUUUCUAAAGGUUUCCCAAUAAAAGGAUCGAUGAGAUUUAAGAAAAAAGGAAAAUUAAGUUCGAGGUUUAUUAGGCCAUUUGAAAUACUUGAUCGUGUCGGGAAUGCUUCCUACCGACUUGCCAUCAUACCAUCAUUAUCAAGAAUGCAUAAUGUCUUUCAUGUCUCCACGCUAAAGAAAUACGCCCCCUAUGUGCUAGAUUAUAAACCUUUUCAACUAGAAGGAGACCUAACUUAUGAAGAACGUCUAAUUCAAAUUCUUGAUAGAAAGAUAAAAGAUUUAAGGAAUAAGAAGAUCCCUUUAGUUAAAAAACUUUGGCAAAAUAACUCAGUAGAGGAGACAACAUGGGAACGUGAGGAAGAGAUGAAGAAUAAGCAUCCUAAGUUAUUAAGUAAGUAAAUUUCGAGGAUGAAAUUUUUAAAAAGGGGGAGGAAAUUGUGAGGUACAAUUUUCUCCCUUAAAUAUAAUAGAUUUUAUUUUAAUCUAACAAGCCACUAAAAUUUAUAAUAUUUAAUUUUAAGGAAUGAUGACAUAAGUAAUGAUAUAAGAAAUGAUGACAUAAGUGAUGAUGUAAGAAGAAGUAUGUAGAGAAAGUUAAGACUUAUUGAAUUUAGUAAGUUAUUUAUGAAGAUUAAUCUCAACCAUUGAUCAAGAGUUGUGGUGGCAAAAUCCUAACCAUCCAUUAGCUUUAAGAAAUUCUAUAAAUACCCCCCACCGCUUCUCAUUUUCAAUGCAACCUAAAAAUUUAAUUCCCUUAUAUUCUAAGUCAUAAUAACAAGAGUAAAUGAAUCCUUAAUUUAGAAAGAUAUAGAGAAGUUAAGAUCAAGAGGUAAGUAACACUUCAACUACAAUGUAAGGAUAAAAUUCUUUUCAUACUUAAGUUCAGUUUUAACAAUUUCUUUAUAUUAUGAUGGCUAUUAUAGUGUGAUUAGUUAUAUCUUUAUAUGGUCGCCCUUGCCGCCUAAUAUAUAAUGCUAUGGUCGGCUCUGGCACAUAAUAUGUGAUGUUAUGGUCGACUCUGCCGCCUAAUAUGUGAUGUUAUGGUCGCCUCUGCCGCCUAAUAUGUGAUACUUAUACUUAAUUAUACUAUGGUCGGGUAUGCUGCCUAUACUAAAGACUCUUGUUUUUAAAUAAUGUUGUGUGUUGAUUUUGUUAUGCAUCGAGGAAUUUCAAAUGUUAUAAGUUGCAUUGGAUGCAUGCAUAUCAUGGACUACAUUAUAAAGAAAAUGUUUCAAAAAAUGAAUGUAUGAAAAAUAAGUAGUUGUACUACCAGGUGGCAAAAUUCUAAGGAGGGGAAGCCCUCAAAGCUAAGUUAAAAGAAAUAUUUUGGGGAUGGCGAUAUGUAACACCCAAAAGAUUAACUAAUGAGGCCCAAAGGCAUAUUGUUUAAAGAGUAAAAGUGCCAGCUUUGUAGUGCAAUAUACUUAGGGUGUAAAUAAAGUUGUUUUGUAUUUUCUAAGUUUAUUUUAAGAGCUUAAUAUGGUAAUCCAUAUGCAUAAUAAUUUAUACAUGCAUCAAAGUGUUAUCUUACUUGACAUUAGCUCCCUAAGUCCUUAGAUUGCAGGUAACGAUGAGUAGGGCAAGUUGGUGUCAAGUCCUAAUCAAGACGAAGUGCAUAUGGGCAUAAUAGACCUUGGGAUUUUAUACUGGGCUCAGCUUUGUUUCAAUAAAAAUAAACAUCUUAGUUUUGUGUAAAAUAAAGUUUUUAUACUAAGGAGUUUCUAUAUGACUCUUACUUUUUGUAAGAAUGUUUGUUUGUUGUAAACUUUUAGAAUUCGUAUUUAUAUUAAAAGUAACUAUGUUUUUAAGUAUUUUUAAGUAAAUAAUAUAGUGGAGUGUUGCAUUUUUGCCCCGCUCUACUCUGCUAGCUUACACAAUACUUGUUUUCUAUUUAAUUAAAAAUUAAAACAACAGAUAUCCUUAAAAUAUCUAGAUCGUGAAAUAUGGAUUUCGAAAAAGCCGACCCCCUGCUCUUAAGAGAUGAUCGUUCAACCAAGAAUGCCAGUUUUUUUUCAAUUUAGGAGCUGAAGGAGAUAAUCUGGUCACUCUCUCUUGCAGGGACAAACUGUUGGAGUCUCAAAGAACUGUUGCGGAGGAUCUAAUUUCAGAAGAUGAUGCAUUGGAGUUUGAGCCCGAAGAGAUUAUGGUUGAACAUGGGAUGACUAUGCCAUCUAUUUCUUUCUCUCUGAGAAUGCAUGCACAAUUGGUUAGGCCAUUGCAGUAUGCGGUGGUGGUUAAAUUACUUGGGCGAUCGAUUCGCUAUCGAGCCCUUUGUAAUCGUUUGGGAGCAUUAUGGAAUUCAACUACAAGUUUUAAUGUUAUUGAUUUGGAAAAUAAGUAUUUCUUAAUCCGGUUUAAAUCCAAAGAAGACAUGGGUUUUAUUUUAACACAAGGACCAUGGACGAUAAUUGGGCAUUAUUUAAUCGUCUAGCCAUGGUCGCCACAGUUUGAUAGUUUGAAGAAGAAGUGUGAUUCUAUCACAUUAUGUAUUAGGUUACUUGGGAUGACACUUCACUACUAUCAUAAGCGCAUCUUUAAGAUGAUUGGACAGAAAAUAGCAAUGUUGUUCGGAUAGCUUAUAAUACGGAGUUCGCGACAAGAGGCAAGUUUGUGAGAAUUGCAGUUGAAGUCUCAUUUUCAAAUCCUCUGGUCUUACAAUUUCUUUUGGAUGGUAAGGUCCAGAAAGUCAAGUAUGAGAAUCUCCCAAUUAUUUGUUUUAGCUGUUGAAAAUAUGGUUACUAUAAUGAGGCCUACCCUGAUAGAGUUACGAGAAAUGAAACAAUGAGAGAGAAGGGGCUCGGUGGUGAGAAAGCCACUACCGAAGUUUUGUUAACAUAAAUAUUCUUUUAUUAUUGAUUUUAAUGAUAAUAACUUGAUUAAGAUUAAUUAAUCUUUUAAAAGCUCAAAAUAGUUUUCAUAUACUUUUAAAUCAUCAUUCUCACUUUAUAAAGACUUUAUAUUCUAUGAAAAUAUUUUUAGUUAUUCUCAUGUUAAUGGUUUCAAUUGAAAAAGCUUUAAGAAUUUUGAUAAUAACAAGUAUUGCUUCAAAUCCUAUCAAUGGACCUAUUUGACAAGUCUUAUAAAGUUUUAGGCCAUAGUAUAAUUUUAUAAAAUUUUUAGGGCCAAGCUAUAAUUUUACAAAAAUAGUUCAUUGUAGCAAUCACUGCUGAAAACGGUGAUCCCACAUCUUGAUAACGGCUCACCGACAUCGAACAGAAUUGAAGAUUAGUCUCUGGACAGUAACGGUAAUCCGACAUCUAGAUAAAGGCGAUUCNNNNNNNNNNNNNNNNNNNNNNNNNNNNNNNNNNNNNNNNNNNNNNNNNNNNNNNNNNNNNNNNNNNNNNNNNNNNNNNNNNNNNNNNNNNNNNNNNNNNNNNNNNNNNNNNNNNNNNNNNNNNNNNNNNNNNNNNNNNNNNNNNNNNNNNNNNNNNNNNNNNNNNNNNNNNNNNNNNNNNNNNNNNNNNNNNNNNNNNNNNNNNNNNNNNNNNNNNNNNNNNNNNNNNNNNNNNNNNNNNNNNNNNNNNNNNNNNNNNNNNNNNNNNNNNNNNNNNNNNNNNNNNNNNNNNNNNNNNNNNNNNNNNNNNNNNNNNNNNNNNNNNNNNNNNNNNNNNNNNNNNNNNNNNNNNNNNNNNNNNNNNNNNNNNNNNNNNNNNNNNNNNNNNNNNNNNNNNNNNNNNNNNNNNNNNNNNNNNNNNNNNNNNNNNNNNNNNNNNNNNNNNNNNNNNNNNNNNNNNNNNNNNNNNNNGUAGGUGAGGUUGGCCGAGCCACAUAAAAAUCCUUGUGUUUGAAUCUCUCUUCCCUUAUCUUUUUAUAUUGUAAUAAAUUUAUUUGUUAUUGCUUUAAAUUUGUUUUAGAUUUGCAUUCAGCUUUGCUUUAAAAAUUAAUAAUUUUUAGAAUCCCCAUUCACCCCCUCUUGGGUUGCAUAACUAGAAUUUCAUUUGGUAUCAGAGCCUUGUUCUCUUGUUAGGACUUAAUCAUCUAGAGUAAAAGAUCCAUGGCAACCCUAAAUGACUUAAUCUUUAGAGAAGGACAAUUCACAACUAGACUACCGUUCUUUGACGGUAAUGACUAUGCGUAUUGGAAAACUAGGAUGAGAAUCUAUUUGCAAGCUUUAGAUUAUGAAAUUUGGGAAGUUGUUUGUGAUGGUCCAUUCAUGCCUAUGAUUAAAAAUGAAGUAGGAGAUGAUAUUCUUAAACCAUAAAGUCAAUAGAGUGAGUUAGAAAAGAGAAAUAUGUCCUUAAACUCCAAGGAAAUUAAUGCCUUGUUUUGUGCUUUUGACAAGAAAGAAUUCCAUAGAGUAUCUAGUUGUGAGAGUCCCAUUGAAAAUUGGCACAAACUUGAAGUUGUCUAUGAAGGCACAAAUCAAGUGAAAGAGUCGAAGAUUAGUAGGUACACUCAACAAUAUGAGUUGUUACAAAUGGAACAAAUUGAGAGUGUGUACUCUAUGUAUACUAAAUUUACGGACAUAGUAAACACCCUAGAAGCUCUAGGAAAGACCUUCUUAAAUAGCGAGAACGUUAAGAAAAUCAUUUGGUCACUUCCAAAAGAAUGAAGACCUAAAAGAACUGUUAUUGAAGAGGCCAAAAAUUUAAAUACUUUACCCCUUGAUGAUUUAAUUGGUUCUCUCAUUUCAUAUGAAGAAUAUUUGGCAGCAGAGAAAGGACAUGAGGAGAAAAAGAAAAAUAUUGCUCUCAAAGCCUUAAAAUAUGAGAGUGAUGGGGAGAGUGAACCGGAUAAUGAAGAGCUGGCCAUGCUAGCAAGGAAGUUCAGAAAAUUUUUCAAGAAAACCAAUGAACGAAGAAAAUUCAAAAACUUCAAGAACCAAAGGGAGAAGAAAGAGGUAAUCACAUGCUAUGAAUGUAAAAAGCCCGGCCAUAUAAGAUCGAAGUGCCCACUUAUCAACAAACUCAAGAAGAAAUCCAUGGUUGCAACUUGGGAUGAUAGCGAUGAAGAUUCAAGUCAUGAAGAAGAGUCGCAAGAAGUAUCAAACCUAGCACUCAUGGCAAUAGGAGAUGAUGAUAAUCUCGAUGAGGUAAGUAAUCCUACUUAUGAUGAAUUGUGUGAUGCUUUUAAAGAAUUGCAUAAUGAGUUGAUGAAGAUUGAUAAAAAGAAUGUAUGUCUUAAAAAGGAAAUGGUAAAGCUCAAAAAUGAAAAUGAAUCUCUAAAUGCAAAAAUUACAUGCUUAGAAGUAGAGAACAAAACAUUGCAUGAUAGAAUUGCAUUAUCAAAUAAGAAAGCUAGCACCUCACAUGAGCAUUUAGAAUCACAUAUAGAUGAUUUGAAAAAUGAAAAUGAAACGCUUAAGAAAAAAAGAAAUGAGUUAAAUGAAAUUGUUUUAAAAUUUACAAAUGGGCAAAAGAUGUUGGAUAACAUGCUCAAUUCACAAAAAUGUGUUUUUGACAAAAAGGGUAUUGGGUAUAAGCCAAACUUGAAACAAAAUAUUAUAAGAACUACUUUGUGAAGAGUACAUCUAGUAGCAAUCAAGUUGUAUGUCAUUUCUAUAAUCAAGAUGGUCAUAUGAAAAAUAGGUGUUCAGUAAAAAGAAAUACAUAUUAUGGUAUGAAAUGCAUUUGGGUUCCAAAAGGAACCAUUGCUAAUUCUCAAGGACCCAAAAAGCUUUGAGUACAUAAAACUUGAAAUUUGCUCUACAGGGCAUGAAGAAGAAGAAAAUAAAUGGUACUUGGACAAUGGUUGUUCAAGGCACAUGAUCGGAAACUAUGCAUGGUUCUCAAGCUUCACCAAAAUUGAAAAUAGUGGAGACAUAUCUUUUGGAGACAACUCAAAAGGCAAAAUUCUCAGAAUUGGAAAUGUUGGUAAAGUUUCAUCAACUCUAAUUGAGAAUGUAUGUUUGGUUGAGAACUUAAAACACAACUUGAUUAGUAUUAGUCAAUUAUUUAACAAAGGUUAUAAAAUUAUUUUUGAUAAAUUUAGUUGUGUCAUUGAGAAUUCAUGUGAUGGCAAGAUCUUAUUUGUUGGAAAUAGAUGUGGUAAUGUUUAUAUAAUUGACAUAGAAUGUGCAUCUACUCUUGAUAAAUGUUUUUCGGCAUUGCAUGAUGAUAGUUGGUUAUGACAUAGAAAACUAGGACAUGCAAGUAUGGAUUUGAUUUCAAAAAUUUUGAAAAAUGAUUUAGUCAAAGGUCUUCUAAAAAUCGGUUUUCAAAAGGAUAGAAUUUAUAAAGCUUGUCAAUUUGGGAAAAAAUUCAAAACAUCUUUUAAAAACAAAAAUCAUAUUUUCACUUAAAAACAACUUCAACUUCUUCACGUAUAUUUGUUUGGACCUUCAAGGUAUGCUAGCUUGAAUGGAAAAUAUUACACUUUUGCAAUUGUUGGUGAUUUUUCAAGAUACACAUGUGUAUUAUUCUUAACUAAUAAUGAUGAUGCUCUUGAUGCUUUUAAAGUACUUUGUAAGAAAAUUCAAAAUGAAAAAGGGUAUGGUAUUGUAUGCACUAGAAGUGAUCAUGAAGGCAAGUUUGAAAACUAUGCAUUUGAAACCUUUUGCAAUAAUCUUGGCAUUUUGCACAAUUUUCAUCACCUAGAACUCCACAACAAAAUGGAAUUGUUGAGAGAAAGAAUAGGUCAAUUCAAGAAAUGGCUAGGACUAUAUUGAAUGAAAAUUCUUUGCCUAAGUAUUUUUGGGCCGAGGCCGUCAACACCGCUUGUUAUGUUUUAAAUCGUGUGUUGAUUAGAUCUAAUCUUAAUAAAACUCCAUAUGAGCUUUGGAAAGAUAGAAAACCCAAUAUUGGUUAUUUCAAAGUUUUUGGAUGCAAAUGCUUUAUUUUGAACACAAAAGAUAAUCUUGGCAAAUUUGAUCCAAAAUCCAAUGUUGGUAUUUUUCUUGGAUAUUCAAAUUCAAGUAAAGCUUAUAGAGUUUAUAACAAAAGAACUCUAAUUGUAGAAGAAUCUAUGCAUGUUACAUUUGAUGAAUCUAACCCCUCCUCUGCGGAGAAAGGAAUUACUUAUGAUGAUGCAGAUGGAAAGUUACAAGAAGAAUCAUCAAAGGAUAAACAAGAGAAUGCACCACAAAGAAAUCAAGAGAACGGACAAGAAGAGAAAACAAAUAUGGAACAAUAUGAAGGUACUUCUCAAGCACUCCCCAAGGAGUGGAGGUAUAUUUCUUCACAUCCUAAGGAUGUAAUUUUAGGAGAUCCCUCACGAGGUGUUACAACUAGAUCAUCACUUAGGAAUGCUUGUGAGCAUAAUGCAUUUAUUUCUCAAAUUGAACCCAAAUCCUUUGCGGAUGCAGAAAAUGAUGAAUCUUAGAUUAUGACAAUGCAAGAGGAGUUAAAUCAAUUUGAGAGAAACAAUGUGUGGGAAUUAGUUCCUAAACCGAAACAUCAAUCUAUCAUAGCUACUAAAUAGGUUUUUAGGAAUAAGAUGGAUGAAUCCGGUGUGGUUGUAAGGAAUAAAGCUACAUUAGUUGCUCAAGGUUAUAACCAAGAAGAAGGAAUUGAUUUUGAUGAAACAUUUGCACCCGUAGCUAGAUCAGAAUCAAUUAGAAUGUUGUUAGCAUUUGCAUAUCAUAAAGACUUCAUUUUAUUUCAAAUAGAUGUGAAAAGUGUUUUCUUAAAUGGUUAUAUUAUGGAAGAAGUGUAUGUAAAGCAACCUCUUAGUUUUGAAAAUGAAAAUUUCCAAAUCAUGUUUAUAAAUUAUUUAAAGCUUAUGGAUUAAAAAACGCACCUAGAGCAUGGUAUGAUAGACUUAAGAAUUUUUUAUUAGAUAAUGGUUUCUUGAUAGGUAAAAUGGAUACUACUCUCUUUGUUAAGCAUAAGAACUAAGAUAUUCUUGUUGUUCAAAUUUAUGUUGAUGAUAUUAUUUUUUAUUUUACUAAUGAAUUAUGAGUAAAGAAUUUGAAAUGAGCAUGAUGGGAGAGUUGAAGUACUUUCUUGGGAUACAAAUAAAACAAAAUGAGGAAGGAAUUUUCAUAAAUCAAGCCAAGUAUGUGAAAGACCUACUCAAGUGAUUUGACAUUGAUGAUUCAAAGACCAAAGCACUCCAAUGAGCACAACAAUUAAACUUGACAAAGAUGAAAAAGGUAAAGAAGUAGAUAUCAAAAUGUAUCGAGGUAUAAUCGGAUCUUUACUUUACUUAACCGCAAGUAGAUCCGGUAUCAUGUUUAGUGUAUGUUUGUGUGCAAGAUUUCAAUCAUGUCCCAAGGAAUCUCAUUUACUUGCCGUAAAAAGAAUUUUUCGUUAUUUAAGUGGAGCCAUAGAUCUUGGCCUUUGGUAUCCUGGGGGCACUCAUAUAGAUUUAACAUGUUAUUCAGAUGCGAAUUUUGCUGGAUACAAAGUUGAUAGGAAAAGCACUAGUGGCACUUUCCAUUUACUAGGUCAUUCACUUGUUUCAUGGUUUAAUAAGAAACAAAAUUCGGUUGCACUUUCAACCAACGAGGCCGAAUAUAUCACCGCCAGGAGUUGUUGUGCACAAGCACUUUGGAUGAAACAAACACUUAGAGAUUAUGGCAUUAAUCUUGAACAAAUUCCUAUUAAGUGUGAUAAUACUAAUGCUAUAAAUCUUUCAAAGAAUCUCAUUCAACACUCUAAAACCAAGCAUAUAGAAAUUAGACAUCAUUUCUUAAGAGAUCACGUUCAAAAGGGAGAUAUUGUAUUAGAGUUUAUUUCUACGGAAAAACAACUUUGCGAUAUUUUUACAAAACCACUUUGUGAAGAACAAUUUUCAAAAAUUCGGCAUGAACUUGGGAUGAUGAAAUUUUCGCAUUAACAUCUUUAUUCAUGUUAUUGAGUUUAUUAAAAAUUGAUUGAUUUAUGAUUUGAUAAUUUAAUAUCUAUGGAAUGCUUAAUUAUAAUAUACAUGUGGAGUGUGUGUAUUUUUUAAUAUGUAUGAUUAAUUGUUGAAAUACAUAUAUGUUCAUGAAUUAUGCAUUGAACUGGCACUUAAAACAUUUUGGAUCAAUAAAAUGAUCUUGAAAUGUCUUAAUUAUUGGCCCAAAUACUAAAAUAAAUGUGCAAAAUCAUAAGUUGUAGAAAACGGAUUGCUGUUAUUUCAGUAAACGGCUAACCGUUUUCGGGCAGAAACCAUGGUAAGCAUUCUGGACACUGUCGGUUUGCCAAUAAUACUUAAACGGCUCACCGUUUUUAUGAAAAUUUUUUGGGAGCUCACUGGUGGUCGAUAAUUCAUUAACGGCUUGCCGUUUUCAUGAAAAUUUUUUUUGGGAACUCUCUGGACGUUGUCAGCUCGCCGAUAUCUCUACAACGGAUCGUCGUUAUCUUGCGUUAAGUGAACAAUUUUUAGUCUUCUUCUUCAUUUCGUUCUUGCUCUCUCUCUCUCUUCCUCUCCAAAACCGCAACUGCAACUUCAUUUCUCUCUCAAAUCCAUCAUUUUUCUUGUCAUUUUUCACCAAAUUGAAGCAUUAAAAACCAUCCUUAUCAUCUUUAGACCCUUUUUAACAAAUUAAAAUCGGUUUUCACUUCAAAAAUUGAAAAAUCCCAACUUAAAACCCUAGAACCAGUCACACUACCUUUGCCAAAUUUGACUCGAAUUUCUUCUAUUUUCAAUCACAUUUCAACUUGUAAUCACUCUCUCAUCUCUCAAACUUCAUUUCUACCGAUCUAAAUUUCUCCAAAAUCAUCAAUGGCUUCCCGACCAAGGCGUGUUCGAACCAAACACACUGCCCCGCGACAUUCCAAUCCCUCCAGGCCUCCUUCUCUGGACUUCGAGAGUCUCUAUUAUCCCAAUGCUCUCUGUUCAACAAUUUCAUGACAAAUUCAUGGGCAAACUAGUAACUCCCUCUUGUUUUCUUGCCAUUAAAGAGUUUUUGGAUAUUACAAUUUGUGGUCGCAAUAUUUCUACCAUGCUUAGUCAUUGGGAUAAGGCUUUAGGUAUAGAAGAGCAUGUUUAUGAAAACCUUGUGCGAGUAUUUUACUCUAAUAUGGAAAUCUCCUCUUCCCGACAAGUUCAAAUUUUUACUUCUGUAGGAGGAAUUCGUAUUAAGUUUAAUGAGGAAGACUUGUGUACUAUACUUGGAAUUCAAUAUGGAGGCUUAGACAUUUACACCACUAAGAAAGAGCUUGAAUUUAGUGAUUUCUGUCAUGUGGAUGGCGUACGGAACAUUUGCAGGUGUCGGGAUCUUUCCGAUGACCUCUACUCUUUAUCCUUUAAGUCUCAACUUCUUUCAUUCCAAGUUCGCUUACUUCAUAGCAUAUUACAGCACAUGGUUACUCCUAGACAGGGUCAUAGUGAUAAAGUAACUCGACUUGAUGUUGGGUUAUUAGAUUCCCUUAUUCAUGGACGACAUGUGAAUCUCUCUUACACUAUCAUGCGUCAUAUGCUAUCCACACCAGCUGUAACCAACCGAUCUCUUCCUUAUGGUAGCAUCAUUACUAGGAUUUUGAGGUAUUAUCAUGUACCUUUUACUGAGCCUGUGUAUGUCGAGUCCCGCAAACUAGGAAGAGAAAUUAUUUCUGCGAUUGGAUUCUUUAAGCAACGUGGCAAUUGAGUGAAGACACAAUCCUCUAAGAAUGAAGACACUUUGGUUGCUCCCGAGGAUGAUCGACUGCUCAAUGACGUUUAAUCGGAGGAUGAGUUACCUGACUUUCGCAUUAGAGCUAGACCUCGUGCCCCCCGACGAGUAGCAGCAGCAGCCCCAUCUCAGGAUGAUGAGCCAGCCGAGCCAGCUAUGCCUCUUGCAGCCUCUUCUGUUUCUGAGGACCGUUUUCAGCAACUUUUCGACAAAGUGGAUGCCCUCUCCCAGCGGCAGCAGCAGUUUCAAUCUGACUUUGCGACUUUUCAGCAGUAGAUAUUAGAUCAACAAAUGGAGUUACUUGCUGGCCAGCGCCGCAUUCUUGGUCAUCUUGGUUGUGAUCUAGGCAGCUCCUCUUCACAACCCCCAUUUUAGUUUUUAGCACCUAGGAUUUUCGCACAGACAUUACUCAUUUCAUGUAGUUGCUGUGAUGCUUUUAUGAUGAUUUUGUUGGAUGUGUGGACUUUAUGAUUGAGUUGAUUUUGAUGACAUGUUUGGUUAUUGCUUAUGAUUAUGUUGAUUUUGUUGGUAUGGAGGUUGGUUGCUAAAUUGGAAUUUAUGUAUGGGAGUGUUUUAACUAUUUUUGUUGUUAAGCAUAUGUUCAUUUUUAAGGGGAGAUUAUGCCAAAUUUUUUCCAACAUGGGUAAUCUCUAAACUUCUCUUUUUAAUCUUUUCGUACUCAUUUAUUUUUUAUGAUGAAGGGGGAGAUGCUUUAUCAAUCUGUUCUGUUAAAUUUUUAUUUUUUUAUGAGGUUAAAAAUUGAUGGGCACAUAUUUUGGGGGAGUUAAAUUCUAUAAAUAUUUUACUUAGGGGGGAGCACAUAUUUAAGGGGAGUAAAAUUGCACAAGCAUUUUCUUGAAAAGUUUGUCAUCAUAAAAAAGGAGGAGAUUGUUAACAUAAAUAUUUCUUUAUUAUUGAUUUUGAUGAUAGCAAACUUGAUUAAGAUUGAUUAAUUUUUUAAAAGCUCAAAAUAGUUUUCAUAGAGUUUUAAAUCAUCAUUCUCACUUUAUAAAGACUUACUCAUACUUUGAAUCUUCAUUUGUAAUCAAACCCAUUGUGUGAGAGAGAUUUAUUUUGUAACAUUCUUUAAAAUCAAAUUGAGUGAUUGUAAGUGUUGAGAUACACUUGGGUUAAGAGAUUGAAGAUAAUCUCUUGUUGUAAAGGUUUAUUGACACCUUAAAAGUCAAGUGUAAGCAUUUGAAGCCUUAGAGGCUUGCUUAGUGGAAUCCUCAAGCCCGGAAAGCUUGGAGGCGUGGAAGUAGGUGAGGUUGGCCGAACCACGUAAAACUUUUCGUAUUUAAAUCUCUCUUCCCUUAUCUUUUUAUAUUGUGAUAAAUUUAUUUGUUAUUGCUUUAAAAAUUGAAUAAUUUUUAUAAUCCCAAUUCACCCCCCUCUUGGGUUGCAAAACUAGAAUUUCAGCUGCACCGGAGACAGAUGCUGGAAAGGCUAUUCCAGAUGAACCGAAGUUUGGCCCAUGGAUGGUGGUCUCUAGAAAAGGAAAACAACGUGCUAAUAAGGGCAAAGAGAUAGUACGGGAUCCAGACCUUGAUCAUCGGAAUAAUUUUAGUAGUAGUUCCCGUUUUGGAGUACUGGAUUGUGUUAUGGCUGGAGAGAUUGACAAGGAAGCAAACAGUGAAGGUUUUAGUCUUAAAUUAGACCCACAUGGACCCACCAAUAACCUUAACACACAAAUUAAAACCUAAAAAUCAGUUCUCAUUUAAAAAGUCCUCCUUCCCAUGCAGCCAACCUGUACUACCGUAACCAAAGAUUGCCAUCCCUAAAACCCAAACAGUCUUAAGCCCCAUGCAGAAUUUACAAGAUCCACGUGACCUGAACCAAGACCAUGCAAAUCAACCUAAUCACCCCACUUUUAUUUUCGCCCAUACUAGCUUAAACUCCUUUUUCCACAAUGCUAUCUCUUUUCCAAAUGAUACAAAAAACAACCCUAUGUCAACGCCUUUCAACCCAACAGAGAUCUUAUCCUCCAACACCAUGGUGGCAGAAACCCCUCAGCCACUAGGGAGCCUCCCGAUGCUGGAACUCUAGAGGCAAAUGAAAGUAUUGAGGAUGAUAGCAAUGAUAGUGACUUCAUGCAUGAGACUAGAGAUGGAAACUCUAACUCAAUAGAGGAUGAUGUAUCCUUAGACAAUGAAAAUGACAUAAACUUGGACCAUGAGUUCUUGGAAAGGACGAAGUAAAGCUGUCUUUUUCACUCUUUUUUUAUAUUUUAUAUCUAAGUCUAUUUUAUUUUGGAAUGUGCAAGGUGCAACUUCUAAGAAGUUUCGACGAGCUUUUGCAACUCUUCAAAAUAACUACAAAUGGGGCGUUAUUGUUAUCUUAGAACCAAGAAUUAGUGGUUGCAAGGCGGUUGAUUUUAUUAUGAAAAGUGGUUUUGCUCGGUCUCGUCGUAUCGAGGCUAAUAGAUUUUCUGGGGGAAUUUAGAUUAUUUGACAAGAAGCUUUUGUCAUUAAAGUGGUGUUGAAUCAUAAACAAUUUGUUCACAUGCAAAUUUCUGAGAGUAAUACUUUUGUUUCUUGGUUUACGAUUGUUUAUUCUAGUCCGAACCCAGUUCUGAGGAAGCAUAUUUGGGUCCAUCUUAAUCAAAUUGCAAAGUUUGUUCAGGGCCCUUGGAUUGUAGGUGGCGAUUUUAAUGCUAUUAUGUAUGCUUUAGAGAGGAAAGGGGGUUCCCAUAACAGAAGUGGAGUUUGUAAUUUAUUUCGGCAAUGGUUUCAUUCUAAUAAGCUUCAUUAUCUCCAUUAUAAAGGGUCGCAUUACACUUAGGUUACAGGUAAUCUUUAUAAAAGACUUGAUACGGUGAUUUGUAAUAAUGAUUAGUUCAGAACUUUCGCUGAAGGCUCGGUUUUACGUCUUCCAAAAAUCGAGUCUGGUCAUAGACCUUUGCUCGCUUGUUUUACUAGUCUGGAAAGAUGUAUGCAUGGUCCCAAGCCUUUCUAUUUUCUAGCUGCUUGGAUUACAAAUAAAGACUUUGCUGAUUUUGUUGCUUCUCUUUGAAGUUCGAAUGUUCUAUAUAUAGAGGCUGCUCAUAUGUUUAUUAGCGAGGUAAUCCAAUGGAACAAGGACUGUUUUGCGAAUAUUUUUUGCAAGAAAAAGAGGCUACUAGCUUGCCUAGGGGGAAUCCAAAGUGCUUUAGAGGAUUAUGAUUCCAUAAGCCUUCACCAUUUGGAAUGGAAACUUCGCAGAGAGCUAGAGGAAGUGCUGAAUCACGAAGAAUUAUUAUGGUUACAAAAAUCUCAAAAAGAAUGGUUGAGUUCGGGUGAUCGUAAUACAACCUUCUUCCACUGGAAAACUAUUACCAGACGGAAGAAAAAUCAAAUCACAGUUAUUCAAGAUGUUACAGGCCAUUGGUUAUACAAUAGUGAUGACAUUACGAAGCACACUGUCGAAUUUUUUUCUUCUUUAUACACUUUGGAUACGGUGGCUCUCAUCAUUAUGCCCUCAUGGGCUGUUUCCCUCUUAUUGAUGCAGAUAUGCUUCAUAUGUUGCAAGCUCCUAUAGACGAUAAUGAAGUUAGAUCAACUAUUUUCAGUAUGAAACCACUGAAAGCCCCUGGAGUUGAUGGACUUCAUGCAGUUUUUACCAAUUUCAAUGGUCUACCGUUGGGCCCUAAGUAUGUCGUUGUAUUAAGAAUAUUUUUUUAGAAUAAGCACAUCCCAAGGGAGAUUAAUAAGACCCUCUUAGUCCUUAUCCCGAAAGUUGCUAAUCCUCUUAAUUUAAAGAUGUACCGGCCAAUAAGUAUCUGUACUGUGAUUUACAAAACCGUGACCAAGCUACUUGCUAAUAGGCUUCAAACUAUCCUUCCUCAUGUCAUUGGGCCGCAUCAAAUGAGUUUCGUUCCUGGGAACCAUAUCAUAGAGAACAUUGUUGUAGCUCAGGAAGUGGUCCACUCUAUGAAGAGGAAGUCUCGCAGGAGAGGUUAUAUGGCUAUUAAAGUGGAUCUUGAAAAAGCUUAUGACAGGUGAAGUUGGAGUUUUAUUUUCAAUAUUUAACGAGAGACGGGACUCUCUCUAGAUUUCAUUCAGGUUACUAUGGAAUGCAUUACCACUGUGCAAAUGAAUGUUUUGUGGAAUGGUGAGCUUACGGAGGACUUUGAACCUUCCAGGGGCAUUAAACAAGAGGAUCUUAUUUCCCAUUAUAUCUUUGUGUUGUGUAUUGAGAUGUUGAGCCAUGGCAUUUUUAAAGAAGUGACCAACAAUGCAUGGAAACCUGUACACCUAUAACGGAAUGGAAUCCCCUUCUCACAUUUAUUUUUUACAGAUGAUCUACUUUUGUUGGCUAAUGCCUCGUGUGAACAGGCAAGGAUAGUCAACUUCAUUUUGGAAGAUUUUUGUCUCAGCUCUGGAGCUAAUAUUAACAUAACUAAAACUCAGUUAUUUUUCUCGAAGAAUGUCCAUAAUGAUGAGGCCUCUCGUAUUGGCAAUUUCCUUUGUUUUACAAUAACAAAGGACCUUGAGAAGUAUCUCGGAAUGCCUUUGCUUCAUUCACGAGUAACAAGAAAUACUUACCAUGAUAUUAUUGAUAAGGCAGAAAAGUUGCUUUCGGGUUGGAAUGCUUCCCAGUUAUCUCUGGCGGGAAGAAUUGCGCUUACUCAGUUUGUUUUACAAACAAUACCAGUAUACACUAUGCAAACGUCGGAGAUUCCAGUUGGGGUUAUUAAUAACCUUAAUCAGAUAUGUAAGCAUUUUAUAUGGAGUGGGUCGGACAAGUGUAGAAAAAUAAGUCUUAUCAGUUGGGAUAAGGUUUGUCAGCUAAAAAUUUGUGGAGGCUUAAGGCUUAAAAUUUUUUAGAUGAUAAACAAAGCCUUAAAGAUGACAAGUCUUUGGUGUAGAGUGCUCUAUACCAAAUAUGGUGUAGCUGACUCGAAUUUCCCUCUUGCUUUACCAACUCGCAGUGGGUCGCAUAUGUGGAAAUCAAUUGGAAAGGUCUGGUCUGAUACUCUAAAAGAGCUUUGAUGGAAUAUAGGAAUUGGAAGGAGGGUCUAUUUUUAGUUAGAUUGUUGGGUUACUAAGAACAAACCCUUAAGCUCUUAUGCAGUGGCUCCUAUUCCUAUCGAGAGUUUAAUAAAUUUAGUUGUUGAUUUUGUCGAUGCUAAUGGCAACUGGCGCUCGGACUAGUUUGAGCAUUUCCUCCUGAAUUGCAUUUUUUAAGAAUUGCAGCUGUUCAGCCGCCAAUGGAAGGAAAUGGCGAUGAUAAAUUUUUUUGGGCCAGUUCUCAAUAGGGGGAUUUCUCUAUCAAGUCUACCCAUAUAGUUGUCACUGAAAACGAAACUGGUAUCGAAAACUCUAGGUGGAACAUUGUUUGGAAAUGGAAGGGACCACCUGGUGUGCAGACCUUUAAAUGGUUUGCACUCCAUGAUCGAUUAAAGACAAAAGCUGAGAUUGGACGAAGACACAUCCAUAUUGAUUGGACCUGUGACCAGUGUGGGGUGGCAUCAGAUGACCCAAAACUACUACUAGCACCAUCAUGCACAACUCUACAUCUCUCAAAUCUUUUUAGAUUACUCUCACCACCAUAGCUUUCAAAAAGCUUCAACAACAACUCUUUAAUGUUAGCUCUCAAUUCAUCAACCUUUCUAGUAUCAUACAAGCUACUAAAACACCAUACAACGAAGUCAAGUUUGCAGCGAGGAUCAAGCACAUUUGCCACAAUCAACAUGUUAACCUUUUCCAAAAAAUAACCCCAAUACUUGACAAAUUUUUCCUCCAUCUUGUAACCCAUUUGAUUUAACAAAAAAUCAUUAGAAUCAACAAAUGACUUCAAAUGAAUAUAAACUUUCCACAUUUCACUCAAGAAAUUAUUGGAAGUGACUAUUAAAGAGCUGUUGAAUUUUAAAGUCACAUGAUAAAAAACCAAAAGACACUUGAUUAACCUCUUUGCAUUUUUCAAAUCCUUAUCAGUCGGUGGCCCCACCCUCCUUUUUAAUUCUCAUCCUCAUCAAACCAGUUUGUAUAAUUGCCAUCAUCUUCCUUUAGCCUAUCAAAUGCUUUCUCAACUGCUACUGCUUUUUCUAACAUCAAAUAUGUUGAAUUCCAUCGAGUCGAUACGUCUAACACCAUAAGCCCUCCACGUGAGAUUUUCUCCUUAUCAACACAUGUUUUGAACUUUUGUAAUCAUACCGGAGAGGAUCUAACAUAUUUCACGACAUUUCGGAUACUAGCUAUUGAUUGACUCAUUUGUGACAACUCAUACUGCACAAUUAAGUUGAUUAUAUGCACCGAACACCUCACAUGCAUAUAUAAACCAUUCAAAACUAUCGAAUUUCCACUCCAAUUUGCUAACUUCUUCAUCACAUAAGCUAUUGUAAGUGUAUUAGCACUUGCAUUAUCCACUGUAAUUGUGAACAACUUCUCAAUCUCCCAAUCAAUUAAACAAUUUUCAAUUAACUUCCCAAUGCCAUCUCCAUUGUGAUUAUAUAUAGGUGUAAAAGUGAGAAUCCUCUUAUGCAAAACCCACUCUUCAUCAAUAAAGUGAGCCGUAACUACCAUAAAGUUUGACAUUUGAAUUGAAGUCCAUGUGUCAGUGGUAAUACACACUAUCUGUUUAUUUGCACUCAAAACACUUUUCAGUAGCCCCUUUUCAUUUUAAUACAAUUCAAGAAUAUCUCUUAUAAUUGUUCUUCAAGAUGGUACCUCAAACUUCGGACAACAAGUUUCCAUGAACUCCAAAAACCCUUCAGCCUGUACAAAUAUAAAAGGCAACUCAUCUUUAAUUAUCAUUUUCACAAGUGCCAUUCUACAAGCCUCUCUAUUAAAUCCUAUGUGUAUAACCUUAGCAGUACCAUCAUCUUUACCUUUACCCUUUUUACAAACUAAUGUCUGUUGUUUUGCAUCAUUUGCAGCCUUCAAUUUUUUACGCACUUUACAUCUAUCCAAAUGAGUCGACAAACCACUUGUUCCAGAAUUACUAUGGGUUGUAUAACUUUUGCAGCAAUAGUGCCACUUAGCUCUGUGUGCUCUACAUAGCUUCGAAAAAUGCUUCCACACAAAUGAUCUCAACUCAAUUUUUCUUUGUUUACUCCCGCUGACCUCUUCUUCACUACUAACUUAUUGCACUUCAUCAUUAAUUUGUACUUUACCAACAUUGUCAACCAUCCUACAAAAUUAGAACAAUUAUAAUGUCAAAAUAAAAUCUAAAAAAGUAAAUAUAACCACUGUCCAACAUACAAUCAGUAGCCAUAUUAUAAACAUAAUCAACAGUUAUAUUUGUAAAUCAUGCAAUUUAUCUCUACACAGUAAUAGACAUUAAAACAAUGGGAGGAAAAUGAAAUUAAAAAAAUAAAAAAAGUUGUUGAACAUUUGUUUUUAUUUGGCUGCUGCCUUUGCUUGAUACAACACAAGAGCAGCUAGACUAGGAGGGGCUGCCAAAGAUUCAUUUACAUUGUCAACUUUUGAAAAGCAAAAUUCUCAAUAGACAUUUGGCAGCCAUGUCAAAAUAAAAUCAAUCGAUAGCCACUAAGCCAACACUUAGAAAAUUGAAGAAAAUAGCAUGCAUAUAUAUCUUCUGUUCUUAGUUCUCACUCACACACCAACUAAUUUUAGAAAAUUGAAGAAACAAGGCUUGACAUACCUAUUGGAGCACGGUGGCUACUGGCUACCGAGGAAAGCAGAAACUGUUGCGUGGUGGCUUCAGGCAUGUGAGUUGAAGUUGUCUCACGGUGAAAAGAAAUUGCGGCUUUCGCGUGUUGAGAAGAAGGUGUUGCGUGGUGGAAGAAGGUGUUGCGCGGUGACACUAUCACCGGUGAGCAGCGUCGACCGUGAUUGUAGUGGAUUUGUGUGGGUGAUUUGGUUUCGAUUUUGAAUCUUUGAUUUUAGCUUUUGUUUUGGGGGAAAUGAAGAUUUAAGAAAUUGUAACAUAUAUAUACCCGUGAUUGUGUGUGUGUGGGUUUAUUUUAAUUAUCUUACGCAAUCAAUUAAAGUUUAACACAUGUCGAUUUUAAUAAAAUCUAAAAAUAAUCUGACUCUUCGUGAUUGUUUUAUGGCAAGAAGAUUAUGGAACUAACUUCUCCCAAUUGGGUAGCGAUAAUCUUUUUUCUCUUCAAAUCUUAAUGAUUGGUUAACUCUUAAUUUGAGAAGUAACCAAUGCAUAGUGAAUGGUUUGCAGUGGUUUAAUAAGGUAUCAACAAAUUCAACCAGCAUGGCUCAAGACGUUCUUAUUUGUGCAGAGGAGAUCACUAGCUCGAACAAGUCCGGUCAAAAUGGUCUGGCUAGAAAAGUGCAAAAAUAGAUUGGGAAGCAACCCCCUAUAUGGCCUUGGUGCAAGCUUAACUUUGAUGGGGCAUGUAAAGGAAAUGAGGGUUCUUUUGCUGGAGGAAUUCUCCAGGACUCCAACGGGAAUUGGGUUAGUGGUUUUGCAAUGAAUAUUGGGUAUUGUUCGGUCACAAUAAUAGAACUAUAUGGGGUUUAUCAAGGUUUGGUUAUGGCUUGGGACCAUGGUGUUCACUGGCUACUUGUUGAAAUUGAUAGUCAGUGCAUUGUUCAUAUGCUGAGUAAUCUUGAAGAAAUGACUAAUGAAUACUCUCCGCUGGUGUUCUCCAUCAAAGAGCAUAUAAACAGGAAUUGGCACAUUUCUGUGAACCAUAUUUACAGGGAGGCAAAUUAUGUUGUUGACUUAAUUGCAAAUUAUGCUUCUGACCUUCCGAUUGGCCUUCAUAGAUUGAAUAGUCGCCCAGCUUGUGUUACUCCUUUUCUUUUGCAUGAUAUAUAUGGGGUGGCUCACCCCCGCCUAGUGCCUUUGUAGCUCUUUUAACAGAGCCCAUAUUGAAUAUAAAAAAAAGACAAUAAUUUAUGUGGUUCGGUGUAAUGCAUACGUUUACGGGCAAAGACUGGAAGAUAAUUCUACUAAUAACGGAAAUUUACAAAAUUUGGAGAAACUCUCAACACCCCAAACCCCAGUACACCCAAAUGUAACCUUAAUAGAAUACUCAAGUUGAAGUUCUCUCAAAUCUCUCAAAUCACUUCACUUGUAAUUACUCUCUACUUCUCUCAAAUUGGGAUACUUACAAUUGCAAAAAGCUUCUCUAUUUAGAGAGAGCAUUUUGCACCAAGUUCGGUUCAAUUGGCCAAAACAUUGUGCUGGAACUUGCGUUGUAUGCAUUAAAGUCAUGCAUAUUUGUCAACAAUUGCAUGUGUAAUUUGUUGCCAGCGUCAAUUUUCAGCAUCACCGAAUUGCACGAACAAGAUUUUCAAAACUUUUUUCAUGCUUUCAAAACCUAACUUAGUCUUUUAUAUUCAAGUCAAAAUUUCAACAACUCCAUAGAAUAAGAGACUUUGGUGGGCACAAGCUAUAAAUUUCUUAUCUUUUUGUAGCUGUCAAAAGAUACACUAUAGUUUGCAAUAGGAACAGUGCUGGCUAAGUGUUGGCGGUAGAAAGAAUUUAGAGAUAAUUUUUAGUAAAGAUGGUUAAUUUGGAAAUUUUAUAUGCGUUUAGUGAAUGAAUAAUGUUGCAUGUAUUUAAAAUAGCACAAAAUUUAUUACAAAAUCAUAAAAAAUUAAAAAAUUCUUGUGCUGUGGUGAAUUCUCUUCUUGUAAUGAAAUUUUUUAUUUUUUUUAGUGAUGGCAUACUAUUUUUUAUAUUAUCUUUUUUUCUUAUACAUUGGUAUUGUCAGCCAACCGAUGAAUAAAUAGUAAAAUAGAGAGAUAAAUGAUUUCAAAUUAAUCUUUUAACUCUCUAACUUUUGUCAAAUUUAAAUUUGAAUAGACAACAAAAUAAAAUUAACUUAAAACUCUACUGGCUACUCCGAGUGCAAUUAUUUUGACUCAAAUUAAUGUCUUCAAAGUUUGAAAAACAGACCAGCACAUUGAAUAUGUAAAAUGUGCCUGUAUAUACAUCACACCCUGCCAAUCACGGUGUUCUAAUAAUGUUGGUGGUAAAUUUUGUGGGGAAUGACAAAUGUAGAGAAAUACAACAAUAAUGGUGGAACUUUAUUAUGUAAAAUAAUGUGUUUACAACUAACUCUGUAUGUAGGAAGAAACUGCAGAAAUUUUGUGUGCUUCAAGGCACGUUACAAAUGUCGCUUUCCUUAAGACGUUAUUUGCCCCCACCAAUUGAGUGAUGCACAUGGGUUAAGCAAAUGCGCCUCCAGGAUACAAUGAAGCACUUGUUUGUUUGCUUGCGUUGUGCAUCGACGAAAGCAAACUAGAAUACUCUUGAAUGUUGCAAGCCUACCAAGAAACAAUAUAUUGUUCCUGCAGAAAACAAUAUAUUGGAAUGUGAAUGCACAAAAGAAAUGGGUGUUUUGUGUUGAGAUUCGUACUAGAAAGGAAUGCUAAGAAAAGAGUGGUGUAGGAUCAUUCAUUUCAUGUCUAAAUGGCUUAAACAUGACCCCUAUUUAUAGAUAUACUUGUGCCCCCUCAUUUGGGUUAUCAUCUUUCAUGAUACCCCUUCAUUCAUGGCCAUUGGAUCUAGAUUUGAUUUUAAUCAAUGGUCUAAAUUGAACCAUCACCAUUUCAAAUGAAAUGUCACCAUGAAAUGAUGCAUCUCUAAGUGAAAUGUUGCCAUGAAAAGUUAUAUCAUUUAGUAAAAGGAUACCUUUUCUACAAGACACAAUUAAAUGGACAUGUCCUUACAACAAGACAUCAUUUAAUUAGACAAGUCUUUAGUGAAAGGUACCUUUUCUAUAAGGCACAAUUAAUAGGACAUGUCUUUACCAUAAGACACAAUUAUUUUGAAAAUUUCCAACAAUCCCCCACCAUUUUCAAAAUAAAUGAAUUUGGAAAAAUGAUCUUGCACAGGCUUGGAAAACUUAGGCAUAGAUGAAGGUGUCUUUUGGACUUGAACCUUCACUUAGUGACAAUACAUCAAAGUUAAUCAAGGUGGCAUGGUAGGCAAGCUUUGAACCAGCAACCUUAAUCGACUAACCGGAUAUAUCUCACACAUAAGUUUUCAAAUUCUCGAGUAUUCCUUAGCCGACACGUGGAUUGGCCCUGUGUCUAUAUCCUGUUUUCAUGAGCGCUUUAGUAACCAGCCAAGUUACAUAGGAAGCGGCACCACCUCCUACACUCACAUAGGUGGACUUAUCUAGAAUGUCCCUGUAACUAAAACAUUUAUAAGUCCAUUAAAAGCUAAGUAGCUUAACUUUUUCCAUAUGUUACAGGUAUCAAGCACUAACCUUUGGGACGCAUCUAAAAAUAUUAUAGUGCUUGCUAUCACAACAUAUGAUGUACUUUUGCUCAUUGAACCCAAGAUCUUGAUAUUUCAAGUGUUGGGUUGAGUUUCCAUCAUUGGUGAUAAGAUGAUGCUGGCUUCAGUCCCAUCCCCUUAGAAGUUUUAAAUACAAUAUCCCUUGCAAGGCCUUUAGUUAAGGGGUCUGCCAAAUUUUGGCAUGAUUUCACAAAGUCAAUUGUGAUUACUCCAUCUGUAAGUAAUUGUCUUACAUAACUAUGUCUUAGACCAAUGUGCCUAGACUUUCCAUUAUAGAUUUGACUAUAUGCUCUUGAUAAAGUUGCCUCACUAUCACAGUGAAUAGAUACAGGAGGCAUUGGUUUAGACCAAAUAGGAAUUUCUAUAAGCAAAUUCCUUAACCAUUCAGCUUCCUUGCAACAUGAAGCCAAAGCUAAAAAUUCUGCAGCCAUGGUGGAGUCUGCUAUACAAGUUUGCUUCUUUAAGCCCCAUGAAAUAGCUCCUCCACCAAGAUUAAAAAUCCAACCACUUGUGGAUGUAUGAUCAUCUCGAUCAGUAAUCCAACUAGCAUCCGAAAAUCCUUCCAAAACUGAAGGAUAUCCAGUGUAGUAUAUACCAUAAUCCAUUGUAUGUUUUAAAUAUUUUAGAAUUCUGUACACUGCUUGCCAGUGUGCUUGGCUUGGAUUACUAGUAUAUCUACUGAGCUUUCCAACAGCGAAAGCAAUAUCAGGCCUAGUACAAGUCAUUGCGUACAUAAGACAUCCAAUAAUACGUGCAUAUUCUAAUUGGGAUACUGAUCUGCCAGUGUUAGGAUACAGUCUUAUGUUUGAAUCAAAAGGUGUUGACACAGACUUACAAUAAUAAUAAUAAAAUUUCUUUAAAAUUUUCUCAAUAUAAUGUGAUUGGGUCAAUACUAGGCCAUUCUCAUUUUUUAUAAUUUUAAUCCCCAAAAUCACAUCAGCAAGUCCCAUGUCUUUCAUAUCAAAAUUAGAUGACAAUAAUAAUUUAGUGAGUUCAAUGCUCUCACUAUCAGUACCAAAAAUUAACAUGUCAUCUACAUAUAAACAAAUAAUCACACCUUUAUUUCCAUUGAAUCUGCUAUAGACACAUUUAUCAGAUUCAUGAAUAUUAAAUCCAUUUGAGAUAAUCACUUUGUCAAACUUUUCGUGCCACUGCUUUGGAGCUUGUUUAAGACCAUAUAAAGACUUGACUAGUUUACAAACUUUAUGUUCUUGUCCUGGCAUAACAAACCCUUCUGGUUGUUUCAUGUAAAUUUCCUCAUCUAAUUCUCCAUUUAAGAAAGCUGUUUUUACAUCCAUUUGAUGGAUUUCAAAUUGAUAAAUUGAAGCCAAAGCAAUCAAGACUCUAAUAGUAGCAAUUCUUGCAACAGGUGCAUAAGUAUCAAAAUAAUCAAGGCCUUCUUUUUGUGUAAAGCCUUUUGCUACUAGUCUUGCUUUAAAUCUUUCAAUUGUUCCAUCAACUUUCUUCUUCUUUUUGAAAAUCCAUUUACAACCUAUAGGAUUAGAGCCAGGAGGUAAAUCAACUAAUUUCCAAGUCUUAUUACCCACAAUAGAGUCCAUUUCAUCAUUAAUGGCCUCUUUCCAAAAAGCAGCAUCUUGAGACUUCAUUGCCUCUUCAUAGGUGAGGGGAUCAGACUCUAUAGUAGAUGUGAUCAUGGUCUGUUUUGAUUGUGAGUCUCUUGUCCCUUCAACUAAAUAAACUAUAAAAUCUGGUCCAAAAGAUUUUAGAGUCCUUAUUCUUUUACUUCUUCUCAAAUGAUUUUGCUCAUUAUUAGCAUCACGCUUUUGACCAAUUUCUAUUUGUUUAUCAUUCUCUUGAGAAUCAAUACUUUUUGGUAUAGUGGAAAAUCUAUUUUCAUAGAAUAUUGCAUCUCUAGAUUCCACUAUAGUAUUGAUCUCAACAAAGCUAUUAGGUUCUGUUACAAGAAACCUAUAAGCUUUACUAUGCUCUGCAUAUCCCAAGAAUAUGCAUUCAAUGCCCCUUUCUCCUAAUUUCUUUAUCUUAGGUUCUGGUAGUCUUACAAUGGCUCGACAACCCCAAACUCUUAGAUAAGAAAGAUUAGGCUUUUUCUUUUUCCAUAAUUCAUAUGGAGUCACCUUUGUUUUCUUAUUAGGCACUCUAUUUAAGAUAUGACAUGCAGUUAAAAUAGCUUCACCCCAAAAACCUUUACCAAGCCCAGCAUUAAAAAGCAUAGCAUUAACCAUUUCUAUUAAUGUCCUAUUUUUCCUUUCAGCUACACCAUUUUGUUGUGGAGUAUAUGCAGUGCUAGUUUCGUGUACAAUGCCAACAGAUUCACAAAAAUCAGAAAAAGCAUAUUCACCUCCUUUAUCACUUCUAAGGCAUUUAAUUUUAGUGUCACAAAAAUUCUCAACUUCAUUUUUAUAAGUUUUAAAUUUUUCUAACACUUGAUCUUUAGAAUGUAAUAAAUACACAUAGCAAUAUUUUGAAAAAUCAUCAAUAAAUGUUACAAAAUAUUUUUUACCACCUUUAGAAGGAUUACUAUGCAUAUCACACACAUCGCUAUGAAUUAAAUGCAAUAAAGAAGAUGUUUUUUCAAUUUUUGGAAAAGGAGAUCUUGUGAUUUUAGUUUGUGCACAUACUUUACAUUUUUCAUGCAUAUCAUUUUCAUGCUUAGGAAUUAAUUCUAAAUUAGCCAUAUCAUGCAAUCUUUUAACAUUCACAUGUCCUAAACGAUUAUGCCACAAAGAUAAUGAAUCAACCAUAUAAGCAGAAGAAACAUUCAUAUUAUUGAUAUUGAGUUUAAACAUUCCUUCAUACAUGUAUCCUUUCCCAACAAAGGUACCACCCUUAGAUAAUAUAAACUUGUUUGACUCAAAAACAAGUUUGAAGCCAAACUUAUUAAGAAGGCUACCAGAUACAAGGUUUUUCCUAACUUCAGGAACAUGAUAAACAUCUGUAAGAGUUAAAGUUUUUCCGGAAGUGAACUCUAGUUGCACAUUGCCUUUUCCUUUAACUAUUGCAGUGGAGGAAUUUCCCAUGUAAAGAACACUUCCAUCAUCCAUUGCUUUAUAAGAUUUGAAAAGGCUACGAUCCUUGCAUACAUGCUUGGUUGCACCAGAAUCUAUCCACCAUGCAUUAUCAUCUUCAAGAACAUUAAUCUCAGAUAUCAUGGCCACAAGAUUUGUGUUCGAAACUUCCUUUUGUUUCUUCAGAAGUCGACAAUCUCUUUUGAAAUGGCCAGGUUUUCCGCAGUGGUGGCAUGUACCCUUCUUUUUCUUCUUAUUGUUUUGAUUCUCUUUGGAAUCAAACUUUCUCUUUUGGUUAUUCUUAGGGUGAUUAGAAUGCUUAAACUCCUUCCCUUCCUCUACGACAUUAAUUUUAGAGGACAUAGUAGUCUGAUCCUCAAGACUAUUAAGCUUGAGUUCCUCUUCAAUACGAAGACUUUGGCCUAAGCCAUCCAGACUAAUUUCCUCUUUGUUAUGUUUAAGACUUUUCUUAUAGUCUUUCCAAGAGGGAGGAAGUUUAUCAAUAAUUGAAGAGACAAUAAUAGACUCAUCUAUUUUCAUGUUAUGUUGGUUGAAUUGAUCAAGAAUAUGCAAAAUCUCAUUAUAUUGUUCAACCACGAGUCUAUUAUCAACCAUUCUAUAAUUAAAAAAUUUAGAAGCCAAGAAUUUCUUACUUGUGGCAUCUUCCAUCAUGUACUUAGCCUCUAAUGAGUCCCAUAUCUCUUUUGAUGUAGGUUUGUUGUGAUAUUGAUCAAACAAAGUAUCAGACAUGGCAUUGCAAAUGUGUCCCUUACACACGUAGUCAUCUUGCUCCCACUUAUGUCGCACUCUGGUUUCCGCUAAUGUCUCAUUCUCACGUUCUUGAGGCUUUGGUGUUGUGAGAACAUAGACCACAUUGAGGCUUGUCAACAAGAAAUGCAACUUUUUCUGCCAACGAAUAAAGUUGCCACCAUCGAAUCGCUCCAAUUUGACAAAAUCUAUUGCAAAUUGUCGAAGAGAUGAACUUGGUGCCAUUGUUGUAAAAAUAACGUCUUAAGAUUGUUGGUGGUAAAUUUUGUGGGGAAUGACAAAUGUAGAGAAAUACAACAAUAAUGGUGGAACUUUAUUAUGUAAAAUAAUGUGUUUACAACUAACUCUGUAUGUAGGAAGAAACUGCAGAAAUUUUGUGUGCUUCAAGGCACGUUACAAAUGUCGCUUUCCUUAAGACGUUAUUUGCCCCCACCAAUUGAGUGAUGCACAUGGGUUAAGCAAAUACGCCUCCAGGAUACAAUGAAGCACUUGUUUGUUUGCUUGCGUUGUGCAUCGACGAAAGCAAACUAGAAUACUCUUGAAUGUUGCAAGCCUACCAAGAAACAAUAUAUUGUUCCUGCAGAAAACAAUAUAUUGGAAUGUGAAUGCACAAAAGAAAUGGGUGUUUUGUGUUGAGAUUCGUACUAGAAAGGAAUGCUAAGAAAAGAGUGGUGUAGGAUCAUUCAUUUCAUGUCUAAAUGGCUUAAACAUGACCCCUAUUUAUAGAUAUACUUGUGCCCCCUCAUUUGGGUUAUCAUCUUUCAUGAUACCCCUUCAUUCAUGGCCAUUGGAUCUAGAUUUGAUUUUAAUCAAUGGUCUAAAUUGAACCAUCACCAUUUCAAAUGAAAUGUCACCAUGAAAUGAUGCAUCUCUAAGUGAAAUGUUGCCAUGAAAAGUUAUAUCAUUUAGUAAAAGGAUACCUUUUCUACAAGACACAAUUAAAUGGACAUGUCCUUACAACAAGACAUCAUUUAAUUAGACAAGUCUUUAGUGAAAGGUACCUUUUCUAUAAGGCACAAUUAAUAGGACAUGUCUUUACCAUAAGACACAAUUAUUUUGAAAAUUUCCAACAAAUAAUUGAAUCAUUGAUCAGUAAAUAUAUCUUAUUGUCCUUUUCUCGUGCGCAUGCAUCAUUAGGAAGUCAUUGCUAACAGUGUUGUUAGGUUGUAACUUAGAUUAUAACAAAUCAUAUUUGCGAGCAAACGUGAUUAUAUAUAAUGUGCUUCUCUAUUAUAGUGUGUGAUCAAUCAGGCAAGCUUAAUUUUAUUGAUCAUCAGUAUCUAUGGAUGCGAAUCAAGAUCAAGGAGCAAAAGAGUAGUUUCAAGGUCAAGCUCAACCGUAUAAGCUCAUGUUUAAUCAUUUAAGCUCGAUGUCACUCAAGUGCGCGAUUGAGCUAAGCAUAGCGGAUAUAAUUCACAGCCACGGACGGGCCAUCACUCUUUCUGAAUUGGUCUUGGCACUUGAUAUUCAGCCUACAAAAAACGACUGCUCUAUUCAGGCUCAUGCGCUUGUUAGUUCACUCGGGCUGCUUUAACAAAACCAAAGUCAAUGGACAAGAAGAAGCAUACGGGUUCACAGCUUCUUCUACUCUGCUCAUCAAAGAAAACCCUACUGUUUGUCACCAACUGUUACAGUAUUUGUUGACCCAUUUUCUGUCGCUCCAUUUCAGUCUUUAAGUAGUUGGUUCAAAGGGACUGAGCUCACGUUGUGGGGAACUGUUCAUGGAAUCAAGUUCUGGGAAUUUUUGAAUCAAAACCCUGGAAUAAACCAGCGGUUCAAUGAAGCAAUGGCCAGUGACUCUGAAAUAAUGACAAGCUUUGUUGUCAAAGCCGAGUGCAAGCAAAUCUUUGAAGGAUUGGGCUCAUUGGUUGACGUAGGAGGUGGCA